rnacentral:lncRNA from 1 species
UUUCAUAUGUCAAUGUGUUUAGAAAAAACUAACGUAGUCAUUUUGUUAUAAUUGUAAUCUGAAAUCAUCUCACAGACAAGAACACAUACCUUCCUGAGCCUCUUUAUUUAUUUAUCUGGUCUAGUUCAGCCAUAAGAGAUCCAGUCUCAUCCUCAUCAUCGUCACUUUCUUUAUAUUUAAGAAAGACAACCAGAUCGUAAGAUAACUCAAAGGAAAUUACAAGUCUCAGUUGAUAUAAGUCAUCAAAAACUCUCAAAAAGGAUAACACUGAAGCAAUUGCAUAUUCCCAAACCAGGGCUCUGAGGAAAAGCAUUAAAUCUCAAGCAAAGAAUCUUUAGAAGUUUAAAGCACAAAAGAUGAACUGCAAUAGGAAGGAAAGAAUGGAAAAUAGGUACCUAUCAUCAUCAUCAGAAUCAUCUUCAGAGUCCCUUUUAGAGCCUAAAAGCAGGAUAUCAGAGUUAGAAUUUAGAAAACAUAUAAUCAAACUACUUGUAUCCCGUGACAUAUAAUCAAAUAAACAUAUAAACCUUCGAGUAAUAGCUGAUUCCCUCUCCUGUAGUAGCUUUCAACUAAUGACAAAAAAAAAACACAUUAGUGAAACGAAGGAAGAAUCUUUACAAAAUCAUAUUGAAAAAAAGGUUUGAAAUUUAUCGUCUCACUCAUCACAGUGAGAUUUUUCUUUGGAAGAAAAGUUUCUCCUCUCACGCUCUUCAAGUCAUCACGAAGUUUCUUCUUCUAUAGAACAUCAAGAACUGAUCUCGGUGGUGUUUGAGCAACGGCCUGCUUUCAGAUUUGCGAGAAGAACGUAGGAAGUCGACAUAGUGGGCGGUGAUGCUUGGCAGAGUAUAAUCUUUGAGAAAUCUUAGCGGUGGAGCUGUUCAUGGCAUCUAACGGAGACAUUUAUAGUCUGAAGUCGUACCGAACUCAAACAUGCAUCGCUUACCUUCGUCGCCAAUUAUAAUACAUAAAUGAGGCGGAGUGGGAGGAGAUGUAUGGUGGUGUUAAAUGCUCAUUUUAAUGGUGGACUUAAAAAACGAAUCUGUUACCCAAAGUUUUCAUCGGAUGGAAGAGAAGCGAAAGGAUUAGGGCGUCUCAGUCGAGGAUCAUAAAAACUUAGUCAAACACGGGCCCACGCAUCUGAUACUUAUAAAGACCAAAUUAAAAUAAAAGCCCAUUCACCGAGAGACGAAAAUUUUAGGAGUCGAAGGUUAAGAUGCCACGUGGUGCAAAACGCCCACCUCUAAAAAAAAGACGUGGAGGGCUAAGGUGAGAGAAAACUCUGUUUUUAGGAGUCGAAGGUUAAGAUGCCACGUGGCGCAAAACGCCCACCUCUAAAAAAAGGACGUGGAGGGCUAAGGUGAGAGAAAACUCUGUUUUAUUAUUAUAGAUAUGAUUAAUGUUAAAAAAAUAUCACUAAUGUUUAAAAAUAAUAAUUUAUGUAUAAAAAAGUAAAAACAAACACCCGCGCGGUUGCGCGGAUCAAAAUCUAGUUAAAGAGUUAUUAUAUGAGAGACACGUUAUCAGAAAUCACUAAAGUGACUUCUCAAUUAAUAUAUAUGAAGAUAUUAAUCUACUAUAUAUUAAUUUUGGAGCAUUACAACUUUUGAGUGUAGCCAUAUUGACUUACAAUCCUUCGCAUAUAUAUGACAAUUAAUGAUUUUGAAUAAUAAAGAUUUGAUAAUAUUUUUUGUAUCCUCAAUAAUUUUUGUUUAAUUUAUAUUAUUAAAAAAUUUAAACAAUCACAGUAACCAUAUAAUAAAAAAAUCUAGAUUUUGUUUCUUAUAUGUUAUAUUUAAAAAAAUUUAAAACGAUUAUAAAUUACUAAAACUGUUAAAAGUCUUACAAUGAAAAUUUUGUGAACAACGGUUUUAGUUUUUUGUUAUAAAAAGAUACAAAUGAUCACAAAACAUAUCAAUAUAAAGUAUCAUUUAAAUAGAUAUUCAAUCUGAAUAUCUAUUACCGAGCUUAGAACUUUAGGGUUUAGUUAUAAUCUGAACGAAACCAAAAUCCUAACUAUAAUCCAAAGAUAUCAGAAAUUAGUAUAAUAUGUUAAUGUUUUUUUUAUAUAUGUUAAGGCAAUUUAGAUAUUUUAUAGUUCGAAAGAUUUUUGUAGUUUAUUUUAUUUGUUAUCUUGAAUAUCUUUUAGUUAAUUUAGAUAGUUUAACUAAUUUUAAUUAUAUUUAUGAAUAAUUUUAACAUUUUGAAGCUUUUUUCAAUUUUUGAGGUUUAAAAAUAUAUUUUGGGACGAUUCAGAUAUUGGUUACAAUCCGGUCCGAACCGAACCCGGCCUAAUUAUUAGUAAAACCCGAGUGGGACGUAUAAGCAUAAUAUCAAAAUUUUGAAAAUCUGAAUCAAUUGAACCGAAACCGACGGACCCCGAACGCCCAGACCUAUGAUACAUUUAUAUACAAACAUUUGUAUUCUUCAUUUUACAAUCGAUAAAGAUUAUAAUAUUGUAAAAUGUUAUAACCAUUAAAUAAAUAAAUAUUAGUAUAAAAAUCUUACUCCGCGCCGAUUAUCAUCUAGUAAUAUUAUUUGCCAAAAUCAAUAUACAAGGACAUAAAUAUUAAUUCAUAAAUAUAUUAUAUUUAUGAUUUUACCCUAAAAAUUUUUAAAACUAAAAUAAUUUUCUAGCCAGGUUUUUUGUUAUUUUCGUGUUAUAGGGGAGAAAAUGGUAUUUGAGAAUAUUUUAAAAAAUAAAAAAAACAGCAGAAAGUAGAUAAUUGGUUCGAAAUGUCGUUUUAAUAGGUUCAGCGCCAACAAUCAGUCAGGAAACUAUAACUUCACCUUCCAUUCUCUCUAUCUUCUUUUCAAUCAUCUCCAGAAUGGAAUAAACAAUUAGGUAGUUUCGAUUCGAUGCUGCUCAGCUCAUGUCUUCUUACACCAUCAAAGAAACAAUGGCGACUAAAGAUGAAGUCCAGAACGACCCACUGUUGCAGGCAUCAGAAAGUGACGGUCACGAAGAGUUCAACGGAGCUUCUUUCACCGGAGCGGUACUCAACCUGGCAACAGCGAUCAUCGGUGCUGGUAUCAUGGCUUUGCCCGCCACGAUGAAGAUCCUCGGACUUGUUCCCGGAAUCGUGAUGAUCCUUCUCAUGGCUUUCUUGACCGACAAGACUAUUGACUUCUUGCUUAGUUUUAGCGGAGUCGGGAACGCUAGAAGAUCGUACGGUGGUUUGAUGGAAGAUUCUUUCGGCAAAACCGGAAGGAUUGUGUUGCAAGUUGCUGUUCUUGUUACCAACAUUGGGGUUUUGAUCGUUUACAUGAUCAUCAUUGGUACUUGAUCUUUGAUACUAAUCAGAGCUUUUGAUCUUUGGCAUUUGUUUUAACUCUUGUUUGGCUUGAAGGUGAUGUUUUGGAGGGUAUGCUUGAAGGAUGGUUUGGAGAAAGCUGGUGGGACAAGAGAAGUAUUGUUCUUCUCUUUACAACUCUUUGUGUCUUUGCUCCAUUGGCAUCCUUCAAGCGCAUUGGUUAGAACAAUGUGUUGCAUACUUCUCUUAAAAUGAAAUGGAGAGUGUAUCCGGUUGAUUUAUUAUGGCUUCAUUGCAGAUACUUUGAGAUUCACGUCUGCCCUAUCACUUGUUCUAGCGGUUGUUUUUCUAGUCAUCACUGCGGGAAUCGUCGUUACAAAGUUUUACAGAGGUGGUUUGAUGAAGCCAAGACUCUUCCCAAACGUCACUGACUUGUCAUCGGUCUGGAAACUCUUCACCGUUGUUCCUGUGCUUGUCAACGCAUACAUUUGUCAUUCUAACGGUAACGCUUCUUUCUCACUAAAAGGAUUAAACAGGAACUCAUGGUUUUUUGAUGUUUUCAGUCCACAAUAUACAGAACGAGCUUGAAGACUCCAUUCAGAUCAAAGCUGUUGUGCGUUCAGCUCUAGUGAUGUCCUCCUCUGUUUACGUAAUGACAAGCUUGUUCGGAUACCUCUUGUUUGGUGAAUCUACUCUUGAUGAUGUUCUUGCAAACUUUGAUACCGAUCUUAAGAUCCCUUUCGGUCCGGUUCUCAGUGAGGCAGUCAGACUCAGCUAUGCAGCUCAUCUCAUGCUUGUGUUCCCUGUUAUCUUCUAUCCUUUGCGCGUUAACCUGGACGGUCUCUUGUUCCCUACGGCUACUCCAUCACUUACUACCUCUAAUAUGAGGUUUGGCUCCAUCACUGCCGGUCUCAUUGCUGUAAUCUUUGUUGGUGCAAACUUCAUUCCAAGCAUCUGGGAUGCUUUCCAACUCACUGGAGCUACAACUUCUGUCUGCAUCGGUUUCAUAUUCCCUGCUGCUGUCAUCUUGAAGUAAGUCCCCAUUGUUUCUCAUAACAGACUGGUUUUGGAACCUAAUGGAUCAUUUUACCUGAGGGUAUCUCUUCAGGGAUCGUCAUAACCGAGCAACAAAGAUGGACAAGACUAUAGCCAUUUUCGUGAUUGUCCUUGCGGUUUUCUCCAGUGCAGUUGCCAUUUACAGUGACGCUUACGCCUUAGUCAAGAAGAACAAAUCCACAUUUCCAAUGUGAGCAGAAUGGUUUUGUUUGGUUCUCUUACUCUAAGAAAAAAAAAAAACUUGACAACUGUAAGAAUGACCCCUGUGAUUUUGAUCUUUAGAUCUUGUUCAGCUCUAGAUCAAAUAAAAAUGUCAGAAGCGUCCAUGUCUAGAUCAUAUUUGGCCCUAGAACAAUAUCCAAAUUAAAAUACUGUGUUGAACUGAUACAAUUUGUCACUGUGAAUCUUUAAGAUACAGACAAAAAAACAGCAACAAGUGUCUAUUAGGAGUCGUUGGGACAACUCAAAACAAAACAAAAGAGUUAUAAAGAAUAAAAGGUUUACUUUUAGGAAUUUGACUUAUCUCCAUCGCUGGAGUCAGCCGGAGAAGGGAAGCAUUGGCAAUAUCCAUUAAUGCUAUUUCUUGAACUGCUCUGAUCUGAUCACUUUUCUCAAACUCUUUCUUCUUCAGUGCAGCGAAGAGAAGUUAAACAAAGAUGAGAGAUGUUACAGUCACAAGUGAAUAUAAAUCAGUGCAAAAGCUAAAAAAAAUGUUAAAAAACAUAUCUCAAGUAAGCACUGCACCUGAUAAACAUAAUAGAAAGCUUCUGACUAACUGUCUAGCUAAGAAAACUCAGAGGAGACGGGUAGUGUGCACUCAUCAAGAAGUGCCUCAGAGCCAAUGGAUGGUAACUUUCUGUGAUCUACACAAGAUUGAAACAAAAAGACGGAUCAGAACCUGUCAACAAUUCUGCGUUUAGGCCAUGCGAACAAUGAGUUACUAUAUUUGGAAAGAAAAUAGAACAAUACUCAACGGGUUCUCCACACUCUCAUUAGCACGUAUGAUUAUAAGCAAAUUAACUUCAUAACCUAAAUGCUUCAAGUAUCAACGCAAACCCAUGAUAUGUGCAAAGGCUCAAGCUUUCUUUUCUACGAAUCUAAGUUACGAGAGAUGGGAGAAUUGAAAGCAUGCAUCUAGACCUGUAGAGAACGUCGAAGGAGACGACGGAGGCGCGAGCAUGGCCGACUUUUCGCGUGCCCCAAUGUGAAAUGUAGAAUCUCCUAUGGAUUCCUAGAGUCUCAUAUACCCCUAUUUCAUAAUUAUUUUUUUGAUCAAAAUCCAAACUUUCAAAUCAAAUCCUUCCAGGUCAUCAAAACUAAACCCUAACCCUCCCCUAUAAAUUAGUGAACCCAUGGACAAAUAUUUAAAUUCAGAAUAAAAUAUUUUAAAAUCAUUUUUAAUCAUAUUUUGAUGAUUUUUUUGAAAAUAUGGAAAACAACGUUUUUGGAUUUUUGAAAUAUUUUUAUCAAAUUCUAUAAAUCAAAUAAAAAAUAUUAACGUUUCAAUUUUAAUUUUAUGAUUUUUAGUUUGACAUAUAAAAUUAAAAGAACAAAAAGAUCCUUUUGAGAUUGUGUUAUGAGAUAUAAGGGUAUGAGAAGAUUUGUCUCUCUUUGCGGUUAGAAAAUGUAGGAACUGUGACCAAGAUCUAUAGGUGGGAUCCACUCUGUUUCUCCUUGAGCCAUCUUUUUUUUAAUGCUAGUUUAUUAUGAUAUUACAAUUAUGAAAAAAAUUAUAUAGACGAUUCGACAACCAACAAUACUACUUGCCUUAUGAGGAUUUAUGCAUAACUGCAUCAUGCCUUAUGAGGAUUUAUGCAUAACUGCAUCACCUCAGCCGUCCUAUGAAAAUCCACGUUUGGCCGAAUUUAUUUGCGCCAUGUUAAAAAUCCCUUGUAAGCUUUUUUCCGUAAUUUGUAUAAUUGUUUAAUAAAUCGUUUUUUCCGGGAAUUGAAAGUGGACCUCAUGUAAUAUGCAAAAAUUUGCAUAGAGAUUCGAACCCAAACAUGGAUGUAGAAACCUUUAAACAUUAACCAUAUGAUAUAGUGCUUCCACUAAACCAUCUAUCUAAGAUCCUGUUUCAAAGAAAAACUAAAACUUUAAAUAUUUGAUUUCAAUUAUAUACUCCAACAAAAGUUUAUAACUUUAAAUUUUAAAGUUUUGAAUAGUUAAACUUUAAUUUGAGAUUUUAUAUUUUAAAGUUUUAAAAAAAUUAUCUGUUUUCUAAAUAAUCUUGUUAAGUUUCAAUAUUAUCAUUUUAGUUCUUAUAAUUUCUAUAUUUCAUUAAUAUUUUACAUAUAAAAUACUGAUUUGGUUUGCAACUUAUAUCUAACUAAUAAAUAAAUUUAUAUGUCAUUUUAAAAUUUAUUAACUGAUCAUAUAUAAAAACAUUACAAAAUAAUUUUAUUGAGUAGUUUGGUAUUUUAUUUGUAAGUAAUGAUUUAAUUUAAGUUUUUCAGUUAUCAUUUAUCAUAAGAUAGCAUUUUUCUAACCAAUAUUAUAACUAUUAUAACUUUAAUCAAUUUUUAAUUAAUAUCGAAAACUAAAGUGAAUAUAUAAUAAGAUUUAAAAAUACAUUGUAGGUUUUAAUAUUGGAAAGUAACACCCCAAAUCUCAAAUUUAGGGGUUUUCCAACCUUAAAAAUAUGGCUCCUCUUGAAAAUGCUCUAAGUUGGACUAUGGGUUUGUUCAUGGAUAUGAUCAACUGGAAAAAUAGACUGUUUUCAAAUAUCAAAAUUGUAAUCUCGUUACAGAAUUUUCUUCUUUUUUUUUUAAAUUAGAAAUUUUGUUUAUGUUGAAAUAACACUGUCAAGAUAUGUUAUAGUUUACUAAUUAAAUACAGGAUUAGAGUGAGCUUUGGGUUCUAUAUAGAUUCAGUUGCUCCACCACGUAGACCAAAUUGUUUAAAAAUUGCCUCAAUUUUUUUUUUUUUUGGUGUAAAAUUGCCUCAACUUCUUGUUCAUUCUUUUAUUAGAAAUGAUAUAAAGGAGUGGGAUCUUCAAUUUUUACGAGAAUAUAUGCACCCCGAAGAUUUAACUUUGAUCUUUGGUGUUUCCCUAUGUCUGACCGAUAGGGUUUUGUAAUCUGCGGUUUCUAAUUUUCUUAGUGGUAUAUACUCUUCUGCUUUGGUGUGUUUGCUUUGUUCUAAAUUUUCUCAGUGCAUUACAAAUAACAAUCUUGGUUUUGUGGCUUCGCUUUGGUUCGGGGAGUGCCAAUUCCGGUUUUGAUUGGUUGGUUAAAGCAACAAUUGCAAAGUUUUGGUUUAAGGCAAGUCCUUUAUGUUGCGUGACAGUGAAUACUUUUGUGUUGAGUAGUUUAGUAAUGCGUUCUUUCCAUGGUAAUUUAUUAGCUAUGUGCUCUUUUUAACGACGCAAGGCAACAGCUAUCUUUAAGGAGAAUCUUCACACCACUAUUCUGGUGUUUCUCCUCUGGUGGGGAGGUUUUGGCUUUGCUUCUCUUCUCUGAAAUUGACACUCUUUUUACAGCUGAACCUUUCGUUGUCUUUAACUUGGUAGUCUGUGGAACUCUUGUGCUAGCCUCCACGCUUUAAGGAGAAACAAAAUCUAGAGUCACCUUUAUACUCUUAAACAGUUUGCAUAACAUUUGAUGAGAUGUUUCUCAAAAGUCCAUGGCUUUAUAUCUGUAUAUGGAAAAACAUACAUCGACCAUAAGCAAAGUAAAUAAGAUAGAUUUUGAAUAAGGGAACUCUUUUGUUAGGUCAUAGAGCUUGUUCCAACGUCAAAUUAUGAUUCACAUUGUCUGUCUUUUAUGCAUUUUGGUUUGUUUUGUUUUGUUGAAGAUGAAAGUGUAAUGAGCAUUCGUCAAUCGUUUCUUCUCACGUAUAUUAUGACUAUCCGAGUUAAAGAUGCUAAUUAACCAGAGUAAAACUUUGAAAGCUGAUUUAGAUUUUUCAGAGAAGAGAACUCUGUGUAGUAAGAAGCAUUUGAGAUUGAAGAAAAGAACUAGUUCAUUAACAGUUUUGGUUGCACUAGGAUUCCCAGAGUUAAAAGAUGCUUUUUGGUUGCUUACCACAGUAAAAAGAUUGAGACUUGAGUUUGCAAGAGAAAAGAACAACUUUUUAACAGUUAGAAACAUACAGUAGUAAAACUUUGAAAGCUGCUAUUCAAAUGCUAAAUUAACCGCAGUAAAACUUUGAAAGCUGGUUUAGAUUUGAGACCUGAGUUACUAAACUUUAUAAUGAACAGAAACAACAUAUACUAAACAGAGACUUUAAACAGGAGACAUACUAGACCUUCAUGAAUAUAAAGUACGUACUAAACCUUAAUGAACGGACACUAAACUGAAAGAAGUCUGUCGAUUUCUUCAACCCCAAGACUUUGGUCAGAGUUCUCUUAACGGUCUUUGUCUUCCAGAACCUCAACUUCAAAGGCUUCUUGUCUGAAACAGCAACAUCAUCCGUCGCUAGUUUCUUCUUGGAACCUCUUCGUCUGAUUCUCAACUUGAACAGGUUCGACAGAAACGAGUUACUUGUCUUCUCCUCUGUUGUCUUCUCAUCCUCUUCUUCAACUUGUGGACGAGGCAAGAAGGGAUGAAGCAACAACUCAUGCGCGCUUCCUCUCUCCUCAGGGUUCCUCGAGAAACACGUUUGGAUAAAGUCCUUUGCAUCACAAGGAACCGUUUCAGGUAUCUCUGGAGAUUUACCAGAGAGGAGACGAGUAGCGAUCUCAUCUAGUUCGAGGCCUUCCCAUGGAAUCACGCCCGUGUACAUCUCCAGAACCAAACACCCCACCGACCACAAGUCUAGAGACACGUGGGCGAUGCCGUCACGGACCGACUCGGGCGACAUGUAGAUCGCAGUCCCAAGCCACGGGAAAUUAAUUUCCCAACACAGGGGAACCUCUCCUAUCUCUAACGCGUUGCCGAAAUCACAAAUCUUGACCUCGUAUGAAUUUUGUCUCAAAGAGGAAGAAGGGAAGACGAGUAUGUUGUCUGGUUUGAUGUCGCAAUGAACGUAGCCAUGGUCGUGAAUCGAGACCAAACCUUCGAGAACCAUCCGUGUGAAAUCCCUGAUCAACGGUUCAGGCAACUUUCUGUCGGCGUAAUUGUUCAUGAAAGCGUGGAGACUACCUUCGGAAGCAAACUCGAGUUGUAGUUUGUGGAGUUUCUCCCCGAAUCUGCUGAAACUUUGUUGGAGAGAGUCUCCGAGACAUGUGACGAUCCUGGGACAUCCCUUGAGUUGGAGAAGAACGUGGAACUCUCUUUGGAGAGCGUUGUAGUCUUCUUGGUAAGAGUUCUUUACGGCAGAGAGGUAGAAAGAGUUGUCGUCGGGAUUAUUGUAGCGGACGAGAUUAACAAAACCAUAAGCACCUUUGCCUAGUAACUUGACGAAUUCUUCUUUCGUUUGCAUCUUUUCAAUCGGGUUUUGACACAGAAUCGUUGUUCGGAAACGUUGAGAGAAUUAAAAAUAGGAAACUGUGGCGAAGGAGAAGUGAUUUCAGAGUGUUAUAUAGAGAGUUGGGGUUCAGUUAAGUCGGUGUUGCAGACACACGGAAAAAGGAAAAUUGAAUAACAUAAUUUCCUUUUCUGAGAUACUUCAAAAAGGAAAUUCGAAGCGCUGGCCAACGGUUGAAAAAAGGAAAAGAAUUCGAAUUUUUGGUCAUUUAUAAUUAAAAUGUCCAAAUUUAUAACAAUAAAGAAUUUGUCCACGAUUUAGUUAAUGCUUUCAUAUAAAUUUUUAUUCAUGUCGUUUAAUGCUUAAAAUGUAGUUUGGAAAAAUAUAGGAUUAUAUUUAUUUUCAAAAUUUUAAAGCAGAAAAUGGUAUUUGUUUUGAAACUUCCUCAUUAAACAUAAAUGCUGACAAUGUUAAAAGAACAUAGUGUAUUUGUGACAUCUAAAAAAAACUAUAGAACUUCUAGUGGAAAAAUGUUUAAAAUAGUGACUAAACUUUUUGGCUAUAAAUUUGUUAAGCAUGACAAUUUACCUGAAUUCAAAAACAUGUUCACUAGAUCAAAAUAACCAAAACCGGACCAAAACUUUCAAAUAUUUGGAUACUUCUUAUACUUUUAUAUUCAAAAUAAUCAAACCAAAAAUUAAAUAGACAUCUAUAUAAAAAUAAUUUGAGUCGUUUGAUAUAAUUCGAAUCAUCCUAAUUACUCAAUAUUUUACUGAAUCAAACGAGACCUCGGAUCACAAACAAUUUCUAGUUUUACUAUCUAAACUAGUCCAAAAACGAAACUAUCCGAACUUAUUCAAACCAAGAAGUUGGCAGUUCCUAAAAAUACCUGUUCAAAAUAUCUGAUACAUGUAAUAUCUCACACGAGCCGAAUCGACACCCGAAAUGCCCUAGUCUAAUUUUGUAUUUGAUUUAAAAAAAUCUAACUUUUAAUACACAAAAAAAUUCAGGCUUUGUUUUAGAAAUUUGAAAGAUUUAAUUAAAAAUUGUUGCUAUAACUAAAAAUGUAGUAAUAUUAUAUAUAUAUACUUAUAUAUGAUAUGUAUUAGUUAAUAUUUAGGAAAUUAACAAAUAUGAUAAAGCAAUAAACUGAUACAAUUAAUUAGAUUUAUAAAAUGAAAAUAAAAAUAUCUUAUGUUAAAGAUUUAUUGUUAAAUAGUGUUUUUGGAAUUAUUUUCAUACUUUAGUAGUAUAUCAUGACUCAUUUAAAUCAUAAUGGAGAUGAUGUAAGGGAAAUUCUAUCAAAUAGCUAUUUUUAAGUUUUUGUCACAAAAAUAGUCCUCACGAAAGAAAAUGAUCAAAAUAAUCUUUUUUUUUAUUUUAAAAAUUUUAAUAUUUAUUUUUAUUUUUCAAAAUUUGAAACCCUAUUCCCAAAACCUCACCCCUUAACUCUAAACCUUAAUUCUAGAUUAGUUAACCCUAGGAUAAAAAUACAUUUUUAUCAUUUAGUAAAACUUAUUUCGAUCAUUUUCUUCGUUAGAGGUUAUUUUUGAAAAAAAAACUUAAAAUGACUAAUUUGAACUGAAUAUAUAAAAUAAAUAUAAAAAACUUCAUUAGAGGCUAUUUUAUUCAUGAGGAUUUUUGUGAAUAAACUCAAAAUAAAGCUAAAUCGAUAUCAGUUUGAACCUCAUGAGUCCCUCUUAAAGUGUUUUUCAAAUAUCAAAUACCUUAAAAUUUGUUUGAAUGUGGUAAGAUGAUCCAGUAUACUCCUCUUAGUGUUUUGUUAUCAGUGAAAUCACUGAAUGACCAGAUAAUAUCGUAAUUUGUUGGCUGGAGUCAGCUUAUUAUAAGUUUUGGUUCGAUCCUUUUAGAAAUAGUAAAUGUCGGUUCGGUUCAGAUCGAAUCGGUUUGGUUCAACAAAACAAAUCAACACCUGAGUCCCCCCCCACCACCACCCAAACGCCUCCAUAAACCUCAUGUGCUUUGUUCAGAGGAUCUCGUCUUCUUCUCUUUCUAAUCGAAAAUGGGAACGUUGGGACGAGUAAUCUACACUGUGGGUAACUGGAUUUGCGGGUCUGGGCAAGCUCUAGAUCGCAUCGGUUCUCUUCUUUAAGGGAGUCACCGCUUGGAAGAACACCGUGAGCCACAUUCAAACCCUAGAUCCAAAUCCACAUCUCUAAUUUGUCGCUUACAAGAAAAGAUCUGUUCAUAUUCGAGAAAUUGGUGGUCUAAUUUAGGCUCUCGUUUUCCAUUGGUUGUUGAUGAGUGUGUUUGACAUCUUAUGUUACCUGCGGACAAACAUAUAUCAAUUACCAUUUCGAUUAAAAACUGUUGAACCAUGACAGAGAUCAACAUUGCAAUACUCUCGGAUUACAAUAGACAAUAACAACCGUAAUUUUCAGAAGAAAAAAAAAGAAACUGAAAACGAAGAUGGAGGGCAGAGAGAUAACCAUUUAGGGAGCUUCGGAACGCGAGUAUGCUAUUGAAGCUAUCAAAGUAACUUCUCCAUUACUCUAAGCGACUAUGUGAUAGAUUCCCUAGAAAUUAUCUGCAUAGAGCAAGACUCAAAGUUGGAGUUAUACUUCACUUGUCAUUAUGUAAUCAAGACAGGAGGUGUGUGUUUCCAUUGAUUCUCGAGGUUCUACAAAAAAAUGGUGUAAAGACAAAUGACGGAGUUGUUCUUGCAGUCGAGAAGACUAUCACGUCACCGUUACUGGUAAACUCUCCAUGUGAGACUUUUGGUGGGUUCUGCUCUUUGCUUUUUUAAAGUCUCUCCUUCUUUUUUUCAGAAGCCGGGCAGUCUGGAGAAAAUCAUGGAAACUGAUGACCAUAUAUGUUGUGCAAUGACUUGUCUGAUUGCUGAUGCAUGUAAUACUUGUUGAGCACGCACGAGAGGAGACUGAAGUGAGACCGCUCUCUGUUCCUACUUCCUAAUCAGCUCUGCCUAAGAAGGGUCAUAACUUUUUCUUUUUCUUUUACUUCAGACUUAUGAUUUUUAUGAUGGGAUCAUUUGUAAACACGAUUCAGAUUCACAAUUGAAUUGAACGAAAUGAAAACAUAGUUUUCUUAAAUUGACACUUGUCCUGUUUUUUAAACCUGAUCCCCCCUGCACAAAGUUAUGUAUUGAUUUUGGCCUUGUGAGUUGUGGCAUAAUAUGAGUUAGACCACUUAACUAGUACCACUUUUAGUUACAACAGUACAUGCGGCACCAAGCAAGGAUUGUGUCUUUAAAAGGAGGCGUUAUGAAUUUACCUCUUGAUAGAGUUAUAAGCGCAAUGACAUUAGAGUUUGGAAAGAUUUGUUUUGGUGAGAAGAAUAACAAUACAUGCAGUUUGAUAGGAAUAGUUAACAUUUUCUUAAGGAAUACAAUAUUACAUCAAACCAUUUCAUAAAUGUUAAAGUAAAGAUAGAACUCGGAUCAGACAUAACGGUUGUAAGGGAUACAAAUCAGAUCCAUCCAACCAUUUCCGUUGAUAAAGGUAUAAACCGAGUACUUCUGAGCUUCUUCGUCCGUCAUAUUGGGUUUGUACACAGUCUACACGGUUGCUAAGACCCAAACCCCAGUUCCAGUGUUCUUGUACUCUCCAUACCUCAACGUCCUAGGGUUCCAUGUGAUCCAACCCCUCGGCUCAACCAUGUCUCCUAAAAACAUCUUCAUAACAAGAACCGUUGCAAACGGCUUCCAAGGUCAUCCAAGUUACAGAGCCGGCUCAGAGGACAAACCACACAAACCAUCGUUUAGUGCAUACAAUACGAGAAAACAUAAUAUAUUUAUUAAUAAAAGUUAUAUAAAUAAUACUAAUAUUUUUAUGAUUAUUAUUAUUAUUAUUAUUACUAUCAAAUAAAUACAAAUUAUGUUUAUAAACUUAAUAAAAUUAUAUAAAAUAUAAGUAAAAAUUAUUAAAAAUAUAAGUAAAAAAUAUAUAAAACAUAAGAAAAAAUAUUAUCUUUUAAAUGUGAGAUGUUGUAUUAACAAAUGAUUUUAGUAAUUACGACUGAUUAUAGUUAAAAUGUUGCUGAUAAUAUUAACAAAUAUUACUAUACAAUUAACUUUAUAAAAUUAUAUUUAAUAAUUAUUAAUGAAGUUGAAUUAGUUUAAAGUUUUUUGUGAUAUCUUAUAUUUUACAUAUAUAUAUAUAUAUAUAUUAGGAAAAAAUGUAAAUAUAUGUUGUUAAAAGUUUGUAAGGCAUCUAAAAGUGUUGGACCUUGUUAUGGCAUGUUCGUGCUGUUGAAAAUCACGAAGCCUGGGAAAUAAUUUGUAAGGCAUCUAAAAGUGUUGGACCUUGUUAAACGAACAGAGGUAGGGGUGGACACUUUACCCGAAAUCCGAAGUGGCACCUAAACCCGAUCUGAAAAACCCAAACCGAAAUCCGAACCGAAGUAGCAAAAUACCCGAACGGGUAUUAAAUUAGGAGAGAUUGGAUAUCCGAACCCGAACGGAUAAUAUCCGAACCCGAAUGGAUAUCCGAAGAUAACCGAACAUAUAUAUAAUUAACUUUAUAUUUCUACUUUACAUCUCUCAUUUUAUAUAAAACAUUUAUAUUGAUAUUACAUAUACUUUAAGUUCAUAUGAUAUAUAUAUAUAUAUAUAAUUAUGAAAAAAAUGAUUUGCUACUCACUUAAAAUGCAUGUCAAGUUUUUUACUUCAAAAAUUAACAAAAAGUUACAUCAAAAUUUUAAAAACAAUAACUAAAUUAAUGUUUUUUUAGUUUUAAAAUGUUAUGUCCAAAUCUAUUAACCAUUCAAUCUAUUAAAAAUAAAAAAUAAGUUAAGUGAAAUUUAUAUUUUUAAAUACAAGAAAUUUGAGAAAUUAAAAUUGAAUUUUUUUCUUUCAAAAUCUAAAUAUCCGAACCCGAUCCGAAAUAACCGAAACCGAACUAAAAAUACCCGAACCCGACCCGAAGUACAGAAAUAUCCGAACGGGUUCUACACUUGUAUACCAAAAUACCUGAAAAUCUCAAAUACCCGAUCCGAACCCGAACGGGUAUCCGAACGCCCACCCCUAAAGAUGGAUAUCGUAAUUUGAUGGCUGGAGUCAGCUUAUUAUAAGUUUUGGUUCGAUCCGUUCAGAAAUAAUAAAUGUCGGUUCUGUUCAGAUCGAAUCGGUUUGGUUCAACAAAACAAAUCAACACCCGAGUCCCUCCCCCCACCCAAACGCCUCCAUAAACCUCGUGUGCUUCAGAGGAUCUCGUCUUCUUCUCUCUUUCUAAUCGAAAAUGGGAACGUUGGGACGAGUAAUCUACACUGUGGGUAACUGGAUCCGCGGGUCUGGGCAAGCUCUAGAUCGCGUCGGUUCUCUUCUUCAAGGGAGCCACCGCUUGGAAGAACACCGUAAGCCACAUUCAAACCCUAGAUCCAAAUCCACAUCUCGAUUCGAGAAAUUGGUGGUCUAAUUUAGGCUCUCGUUUUCCAUUGGUUGUUUUGAUGACAGUAUCGAGGCAUCGGACGUUGAUGAGUGUGUUUGAUAAAUCACCAUUGGUGGAUAAGGACGUGUUCGUGGCUCCGAGUGCCUCUGUUAUUGGUGAUGUUCAGAUUGGGAAAGGCUCCUCUAUUUGGUAUGGCUGUGUUCUUCGAGGUAAAGGCCUUUUCUUUCCCACUAAAUCCUUUAAAAUGUUUUGUCUUUGGUAGCGUUAAGGCAAAGCCAAAUGAUAUUUGGUUGUUGGGAAUAGUAUGUCCCCCACAAAGACUUAAAAAACAAGAUUUGAUAUAAAUUGCAAGCCAAGUAUCAAAUUUGCAGCAUUAUACUUUGCAAGAUCGUGUGCAUUCGUUACAGUUUAGAUCUUUGCUGAUUUACUUGAUUGUCCUUUUCAUUUGAAGGUUCUAGGUUUAGUGUAUUCCUGAUGAGACGUUGUGAAAUAGCUGGAACUCAUUGUAACUUUUGUGCAGGUGAUGUGAAUAACAUCAGUGUUGGAUCUGGGACCAACAUCCAAGACAAUUCUCUUGUACAUGUUGCAAAAACCAACUUAGCUGGGAAGGUUUUGCCUACUACAAUUGGGGACAAUGUCACAGUAGGUAAACUUCUAAAACUGAUUUAUCAGCUUUUGAGAAUCUGUUUUAUGUAAUGUGUUCUGUUGCAUGAUUCUUACUUAAAAUCUUUGUGUGUAAAAAUUAAACCGAGCAGGUCAUAGUGCUGUCAUACAUGGUUGUACUGUUGAGGAUGAGGCUUUUGUUGGCAUGGGUGCUACACUACUCGAUGGUGUAGUGGUUGAGAAGCAUGCCAUGGUUGCUGCUGGUUCCCUUGUGAGAGAGAACACACGAAUCCCUUCUGGAGAGGUUUCUUUCUAUUCUCUUUUUCUUUUCUGGUUUACUUUCUACUGCGUUUGUGAUAAACAUAUUGACAAGUUAACAAACAAUUCAUGUGGCAGGUAUGGGGAGGAAACCCAGCAAAGUUCAUGAGAAAGUUAACAGAUGAAGAGAUAGCAUAUAUCUCAAAGUCGGCUGAGAACUACAUCAACCUCGCACAUAUUCACGCAGCAGAGAACUCAAAGUCAUUUGAAGAGAUCGAGAUUGAGAGAGCGCUUAGGAAGAAGUAUGCACGCAAGGAUGAGGAUUACGAUUCAAUGCUUGGGAUUGUCCGUGAAACUCCAGCGGAAUUGAUUCUCCCCGACAAUGUCUUACCGGAGAAAACUACCACCAGGGUUCCAACUACUCAUUACUGAUUCACCCGCCUCAGGUUGUUUUGCAGACAAAGAUUGAUUAAGUCAAGAGAGAUAUUAUCUUUUGGUUUUGCCCUUUUUUUCUUCCGAGUAAGCAUGGGAUUUGUUAUAUUCUUGCUCAAUAAAGCCGAAAAGAACAUGUACUGUUGCAUUAUGUCACAUUUGUUGGAUGAAUAAUUGCAUAAAGAAAAACGAUUUGCAUUCAUUGUGUUCUUCUCUUUUGCUGAUGAUGAUGAAAAUGAGUUUGGUUUCAAGGAUGAAUUAGUGUAUAGAGAUCAUGAUUUCUGAAUCCAAGUUAUAAACUAUUAGGACUUGGUGUUUUGGUUUAGUUUUUUGAGUUCUUAUUUUGCUAUUAAGACUUGGUGUUUUACUAUUUAAGCAAGGUUUUUUUUUUGCAUUGGUGUUGCUGUUUUGGACUAAAAUGUGGUUGAUUUGGUGUGUUUGGUUCUAGCAUACAUAUUUUACAAAGAUGCUGAUGAACUUAAAGUGGGACUAUAAGAUGGUUUGAAUACGUUUUCUAUAAUGCAUACGCAUGGCAUUUGGCUGAGUCUCAAGACCAAACCAAGCAUUGCGUGACUAAUAACAGAGACAUCACUGGAAGCUGACAAACAAUAUUUGGUCAGUGGAACGAGCAGGACCUGUGUUGCCUUGUCCCAUCCACAGACCACCGCUUAUCAAUAAUCCAGACAGUUCUCAGGGAUAUACCGAUUCGUAACAUCUAAUAAGAUGGCACCAGCAUAAAUUCUAAACAAAACAAACCUGAUUCAGUUUGCUUAGGUAAAAACUAUUACUGAAAAUUGUAACCUCAAAAAAAACACACAAAGAUUUCACGCUGAGUAAAAAGCAAAAUACUUGGGACAUAGACUGAUUUUUAAAUUCAGCUUGGAACUUUAACACCAAAGAGCUAAAGACGGACACAGUUAUAAUUCCAAAGUUAUUUGUGAUCAAACUCUAACACUCUCACUUUCUCACAUUUCCAUUGGUGCAACAUCCUGAUCACCUGCACCACCUUGUUCUGCAGCAGCAGCUUCAGCCUCGGCCUCACCACCAUCCUCCUCUUCCUCGGGAACGUUCUCAAACGUAUCAAUCACCUUCUGUAUGCUAUCCUGGUCCAAGAAAUGGAAUGGUUCAUCGACUCCUAGAACAGAAACGGUGCAGAGCGAGCUCUUGAGUGUCUCCCCUUGCAAAGUUUCCCUUAUGGCCAAAAUAGCAUCUUUGAUCAGAUCUUCUCUUGAUGACUCAUUGAAGCUCUCGAAUCUUCGUUCUAGAUAAGUUUUCGCAGCUUGUGAACGUGACCCGAUGGCGAACGCUUGGUACUCAAAGUAGUUUCCGCUGGGGCAGUUGUAGUAGAGGUGGGCUCCUGACUCGUCCAGUCCCCCUACCAGCAAACCCACACCAUAAGGUCGUUUCCAUGACCGUUGGGUACAUACCUGCUCAGAAAAAAAGUAUGAAGAGGGUAAACACAAGAUCAACAAACAAGUUCAACGAUCAAUAAUACCAGAGUUUUGUUCAAAGUACAAGAUUAAUAUAUGAGGCUUAUGGUCAGAAAUCAACCGAGAAAAAUGUCAAUAGAGCAGCUAACUAGACCUGUUGAAGCUGUGAAUACAUUAUUAAACUUAGAACUCUAAAUUAGACGCCAAAGUGAACAUAUACCACAAAGUUUCUAUUGCAAUUGUAAAACAAGAUCGUACUGGACGAGCACAAGAGAGGGUGAGUACACACCACAAGUGAACACACACAAAGUAGCGCAAGUUGAAACCACAAAAACCAAAAAGAGAAGAGCGAAGACUGUAUAUCCAAUUUUGCUUACAAAAUUGAAGAUAACAAAAGAUGCAAACAGCAACAAACACAACUAAAGUAUAAAAGCAGGCACAUUCUUAUACAGUUAUAUUGCCUCAAGUUGAUAACUUGUACAGCAUUCCCUUGUUAUAUUUUUGUUGGUAAAAUUCAAUAUUCGAACCCAUGACCUCUAGCACAAAACUAUGUCACACUGUCUAAAGUCAAUCUCUUUUGUUGUAUGUAAAAUUCAAUAUUCGAACCCACGAACUUGAGGUUUGGAAUGUUAAAGUGUUCUUAUCACAAAGCUACUAUGGUCACAUUGGUCUAAAGGCUAUGUAUGUCUUUUUUGUAAAAUUCAAUAUUCGAACCCAAGACCUUGAGGUUUCAAACGUUAAAGUGUUCCUACUACCACAAAGCUACUAAAAAGGCUAUAUCUUUGUAACUCAAGAGGCGGCGAGAGGAGGGAAAGGAGUAAACCUGGGCCUUAUCAGCAAGACGAACGACGAGGCGGCCAACAGGGAGAGGAGACUCAUAGGUGAAAGAGUGAUUGAUGGAUUCAGAUCUCAUGUAACGCGAGAGCACACGGCCAUCGGCGGUGAGUCCAGCGAUGGCGACACCGAUGUGGUCAUCGACUUUGAAGAUCUUCCUUUGGUGAGAAGAGAGCUCCGACUGGGCUUUAUUGACGGAGGCGAGGACGACAUGGGAGCGAGAUCUGAGCCCGAUUGCGGCGGAGCCUUGCUUGACGGCUUCCAUGGCGUACUCUACUUGGAAAAGACGACCGGUGGGACUCCAUGUUGUCACGUCUGUGUCGUACUGGUUCCUGAACAUCCUUGCUUCUUCUUCUUCGUCUUUGUUCGUCAAAAGAGUGUGUAUAGAGAGAAAGACGCAGUGAAAGAGGAAAAGCUUUUCGUUUGGUUUGGUUUGGUUUCUCUUUGAAGGGACGUAGAUGGGCUCUUAUAAGACCUAGAUGGGCUUACAUAAAUCUAAAAUGCCCAUAGAAAAUAGAGCAAUUGGCGUGCAUUGCAGAAAAUCAUGUAAACAAAUGCUCAAGUCUUAUUUGAAACUGAGUAUAAUUGUGGUUAUUUACCAUUUAAUCAUUUCUCUUUCUUAUCGCUACUUCCUACUCCCUAGAGUUUAACUUAUAGCAAGAGCCGGCCUUGGAAACAAAACGAAGCUUGUGUUUCUGGCCGCCAAAUAUUAAGAUAAUAACCAGCCACAUAUGGACAGUAAAUUCUCAGUAGCAUAGUGGUUGGCGUGUGGUUACAAGUAUUACAGGGUAGCAUAUUACUUGUAGUUGGCUUUGCUUAUAGCAGACUAGUAAUAUUUAUAUAAUAUUUUAGUUAUAUAUUUAUCUCAUAUUUCAUUUAUAACUAGGUGUUUUUAGCACUAUGUGCAGUAAUAAUUUUUAAAAAUUUAAAUCAUCUUUAAAAUAAAUUUUAUUAACAUUUUAGAUUUUAUUAUUUUUACCAAUAUUUUAAUAUAAAUUUAAUUUAAUUAAACAUAAAAUUAAGAUAAAAUACUGUUUUCUUUAUUUUAAAUUAUAUUUAAGAAUAUAUAUAUAUAUGUAUAUUUUUAAAAUUUUAACCUUAGAUAUAUUUUUCACUCUAUUUUUUUUUUGGUUAAAAAUAUUAAUCAACUAUAAAAUUAAUAAAAAAAUGAUAUAAAAUUAUAUCAUUAUCAAAAAUUAAAACUAAACAGUAUUUAUAAAAUUUAUGGGUAUAUAAAAGAAACUAAUGAUACUAGGAUUAAAAAAUUAUAAGUUUUUUAAAAAUUGUAGAAAAUUUUACAAAAUUUAGUAAUAAAAAUUAUAUAAUUCUAAAAAGUAAAUUACAUAAUAUUAUGCAUAAGCCAUGUCAUCAACUUUAGUAGCUAUGUCUCAUUUUUUAUGUAAAAAUGAUUGUAGAAAAUGAUUGUACGUAGAGAGAACAUGUGAUAAAUCACUUCUAAAAUAAUGUCUAUGGGAUCUAAUUUUCUCUUUCUUUUUCAGGUGCUUUUGUUCGACAGAAUUACAAAAGUUAUAAUCACUACUGAAGGAAAAGAUGAAGAUGUUGUCCUUAAUAUGUAUGUAGUCAUCCUAUUUUUCUGCUCAUUUCGAUAUUUUUUUCUAUUCUCUAAGUAAUUUUCUUUCGCACCUCAUGUGAUCUUAGUACUUAUAAAAUCAAAUUUGUGUCUAUUUGAUAAAGACUGGAAGCAGUUAAAGGAGAGAGAGGAGCUGGCUGUGAAAGCCAAAAGGUUUGAUGAUAGUAAUGAUAUCAUAAAUUGUUUUGUUGAGUUUGAAUUAACUCAUUGUGCCGAAUUGGCUCAAUUUGUUUAAAAAAAUGAAGUCAAUAUAUUUUAGAUUUUAUAUAUAAGAAUGUUUAUUUUUACCAGGUAUGUGUUUUUAAUAAUUGAAGGUUGUGUAAUUUUAUAAAAGGAUAUCACUUACAUUUUUUAGUCUAAAUUACAUAUAAAAAUGAUGAUUAGGUAAAUUUGUUGAAAAAAUUAAGUAUAACUUGUAAGUUAAUAUCAAGUUGACAUGAAAUACUCUGAUUUAACCAUAUAUUCUAUUUAAAUAGAAAUCAACAUAACCUUUACUCUGACCUCAGUGGAUUCUUUCAUCAACGUAACUUCACGAACAUGGAAUACCAGACAAUUCUGUCUUUGGUAGAUCCCUAGGAUGUGAAUAUUAUUGAAAGUAUACCAUUGAGCUUGACUCGUAUAACAUACAGAGAUGGAUGUCAUUUUACCAAUAAUGGAAAAUACACUGUGAAAUAUGGAUAUCAAGUGGAACGAUUUUUUCCCGACAGAGAAAAAGCGCACUGAAGGCUUUUUGUUGGAAAGUAUGUUACUCCCUAAAAAUAAAACACUUCCUUUGGCAACUAGUAUCAGAAUGUAUAUAUAGCGGUUAAGAAAAACUUGAGAGCGAGACAUAUUCAGUGUGAUAUAUAUUGUGUCAGACAUAGAGCAAUUGAAGAAACAAUAAAUCAUGUGUUUUUUAAAUGUCCUCCAGCGGUGCAAGUUUGGGCACUUUCAUAGAUCCCAUCAAAUCAAUAUAUUUUUCCGGUUCAAUCAUUCUUUACAAAUAUGAAUCAUCUGUUUUGGAUAGUUUCUCCGCAUAUGGAAAACCAUAAACUUGCUUAGGUUUUAUGGUACAUUUGGAGAGGACGAAACAACAAAGUUUUUAGUAAUUUGGAUACUGAUCUGAGGGAUACUCUCAAAUUGGCAGAGACAAAAUCAUUACUUUGGGCAGAGGCUCAAGAUACUCUUACUCAGAGGGUCGUCCAAUCUAGGGAUGUAGAAGACUCAAUUUUACCUUCCAUACCGAGAAGAUGAUGUUUUACGGAUGGAUCAUGGAAAGAAUAUGAAAGUCAUUCGGGACACAGUUGGUAUAGCAUGCUUGAAGGCUUUCAUGAACUGAUGGGAGCAUGCAAUACCAGGGCCAGUCUUUCACCCCUUCAUUCGGAAAUAGAGGCGCUUAUUUAGGCAAUGGAAUGUGAGAGGAAUUUAAGGCAAUAUCAUGUCAGUUUUGCAAUGGAUUGUUCUCAAUUGGUGAAGAUGGUUUAUGAACCAGAAAAAUAGCCAGCCUUUGCAAGUUAUUUGGAAGAUAUCAAGUUCCUAAAAUGAUGUUUCAACCAUUCAGACCUCAUUCAUAUACCUAGAACACAUAAUACCAGGCCGAACAGCCUCACACACAGUGCGAGGAGACAACCAUCGUUCGUCGUUCAUAUGGAUGCAGAAUUACCAGCUUGGUUUGCAGAGUCUUCAUGAGUCUGUUUAUGUCGAUGACAAAAAAACAUAUUUGAAGAUGAUAUUUUAUUUCAUUUCACUUGAUAUUAGAACAAAUUAUAGUUAUAUAAUCUUAUAAAAGGAUACCAAAAGCAUAUUCGACCUAUUAUAUAGAAACAUUGACUUAUUUUGAGAAGCUUAAAUACAAAUCAUAGUAAAUAUGUACGUCAAACUAUCUGUACUCUGACAUUUCUAGAUCCUCCAUAAGUUAAUGUCGUUGUACUCCAACUUCUCUAGAUAUUCUACAUUUUUUUAUUUAUAAAUACCAGUUACUUGAUCAGUUGAUGGAUAUGUUAUUUUAUUAAAAGAUAUUUCUAAAAGUAUAGUUAUGUGAUUGCACUAGUGAUUAACCAUUUUUUAGAAAGCUUGUCAUGUAUGGAUUGUUGGAUGUAAAAAGUCUACCCGUACAAGGAAACAUAAAAGUAGCUCUCUAAAAAAUCACAACAACAUAAUAUUGAAAAGGUUGUUAGCUGGAUAAAACUUUCUAAGUACAACUAAUAUUAAUUUUAAUUGUACUUAAAAGGUUUUAUCUGGUUAACAACCCCUUUCAAUCUUAAUAUAGUUUUCAUUUGAAAAUUGUGUCAAUUUGAACAUUUUGAUGAUCAAUCAUGCGCAUUUAUUAAAAGAAGGAAAGCUCUAGAUGCAUGUAAACUAUUAUUUUUAGUAAAAAAUAGUUACAAGGAGAAAACACUUUGAACAUGUGAAAACCAAAUGUUUUUCUGUAAACUAAUACUAGUUUAUUAUAUAUGCAUGUAACAUAUCAACCAAUUUUUGUGUGCAGAAAAAUUGUUAGAAUUAGUGUAAGCAUCAACUAAAAAUAGUUUUAAUAAUCAUGGUCAUAUCCACGAGAUCUAACAUCUUCAUUAGUGGCUUCUCAUGUCAACAACUUUUCCUAUGCCACAAUCACUGGAACCACCCACCACCACCACCACCCAUUUUAAUAAAGCUAUCAUCUUUUUACAUUCUAGUAAGGAACCAAAAUUGCAUCAGCUUCUCCAUUCCCUUGAUCCCUUUCACUCUCAUCAAAGAGAUCUUGUUGCGGAUUCCCUUAUCAAUCAUCCUUUUAAUCACUGGUAGUGGCAAUAACUUAUCACCAUGCAUAAGCUUGUUACGCUCUCUCCAUACUGCAUACAGAACUUCUUGGAAAGCAUAUCUUAUACAGAAGAGGCUCAUCUUUUCUCUUUUCUCAUCCAAUAGAAUAGCCAAGAUCUCAGACCAGAUAACUGUAUAGGAGUCUCGUAAAAUACCUUUGGCUAUAAACUCCCAUAUCUGUGCAUAGUAAUCACUUUCGAAGAAUAAGUGACUCCUCGUUUCUGCAGCAUUUUUACAGAGCACACAUGUAGUGUCCAGUCCCUGGCUCCAUCUUGAUGCUCUGUCUAAGGUCGACAUUCUAUCUCUUAUCAACAACCACACCAUGAAUGCAAACUUUGGAGUUUCUUGAGAAAACCAUAUACCCCGAGCCCAAGAGCAUUGUGUCUUACUCUCUCUGAGCAACAACCAAGUUUCACUAGUUGAAAAUCUUUGUUUAAAUCCUGAUUUCCCUUUCCAUAGACUCACAUCCUUUCUCUCUUGAUUUAGCUUUCCCCCAAUAAUAAUCAACUCCUCCUCUAUUUCAAUGAGUAAACUCAUACGGUGUCAUGCGUCUCCUUCUAGUAUUUAACACAGCUUCCUCCAAAGUCGCAACCCUACUCACUCCCAAGUCGAUAAUGCCUCGAGGCCCUAGCAAAUCAAAGAGAGCUCCCUUAUUCGACCAGUUAUCAAACCAGAAAGAUAUAUGUCUUCCAUUACCCAGCUAUUUCUUGUGAAACAUCUUUGCAACUUCUCUAAGUUUCAAUAUUUUACGCCACAUCCAAGAUCCAUUCUGAGUAUUGACGCUUAAUUUCCAGAAACUUUUCCCUUUCAGAAAAUUUUCUUUGAUACAUUUACCCCACAGCGAGUCACCCGAUAACAUUAUCCAUAUCAACUUAAGGCCAUAUACCUUAUUAACUUCCUUUAGAUCUCUUAGUCCCAGACCACCUUCACUCUUCAUACUACAGACAUCUCUCCACGCUACUUUGGCAUUUGACGACUUAAGUAUUGGUCCUGUCCAAAGAAAUGUUGCGCAUUGCUCCACCUCUUUAAUACAAGCACUUGGGAGACUAAAUACUACUAACCAGAAGUUUGAUUAGACUCAUUAAAACUUGUUUUAUUAACUGCAGUCUACCGGCAUAUGACAAGAAUCUGCACGUCCAAGAGCUUAUUCUGCUUCUGAUAUUUUCCAGUAGCGAAAGAUAGUCUUGCUUCCUCAUCACUUGGGUCAUAAGGGGGAGUCCCAGAUACCUCACUGGAAGUUCACCUUCAGCAAAUGGGAAGUUAGUUAAGAUACUCCUUUUCUCUGCCUCCGGUACUCCUGCCAUAUAUAUUGUAGAUUUCUCUAGGCUAAUUUGUAACCCUGACCACUCUUCAAACUCAUCAAACACAGAAAGGGGCUCCCUCUAUAGACUUUUUAGAACCUUCAACGAACACCAUUAAGUCAUCUGCAAACAAAGAUGUGUUCUAGAAAGCUUCUUACAUCCCGGAUGUAGUUUGAACUUCUUAUCAGCCACUGCUCUAUCUAUUUUUAAAGAUUGCACGUUCAUAUAGAGAACAAACAAAUACGGAGACAGAGAACAUCCCUGACGAAGACCCCUCGAGCUUUGGAAAUAGCCAGCUAGAUCACCAAUGACUUGCAGAGAACAGGAUGGGCUUGUGAUACAUAGCUCAAUCCAAUGGAUAAACCUUUCCGGGAAACCCAAUACCCUCAAACUCUUCAGAACAAACUCCCAUUGCACCGAGUCGAAUGCUUUAGCAAUGUCAAUCUUCAUAACACACCUUGAAGACACUGCAUCCUUGUGAUAACCCUUAACAAGCUCAGAUGCAAGCAGCAUAUUCUCCAUGAGAAGUCUACCUUGUAUAAAAGCCGGCUGAGUCUUUGUUAUGAUUCUUGGAAGUAGCUUCUUCAGUCGAUUUGCCAAAAAAAUUGACACAACCUUAUAGAGUACGUUACAGCAUACAAUAGGAUGGUAAUCUUUCAUCUCCAUCGAAUCAAAUUUCUUAGGAACUAACGCAAGAAUUGUCGAAUUAACACCCUUUGGCAAAAACCCAAAUCUGAAGACUGAUUGUACCGCAACAAUGAAAUCCUGAGAUAUAACCGACCAAGCUGUUUUGAAAAACCCACACGGGUAGCCGUCUGUCCCUGGAGCCUUGUUGUUCGGCAUAGCAAAGAGAACUUUCUGAAUUCCAUCUUCAGUAACUUUUGCUUCAAGAAUACUACAAUCCUCAGAUGAGCAACGAAACUUUAGCAAUUCCUGUAACUCCUCCUCAGAUGCACCCUUGUAAUUCUCUGGCUUGUGAUUUAGAAAUUCUGAAAAAAAAAUUCUCUGCCUCUUGCUUUAUCUCUGAAUGUUUAGUCACCACUCUUCCAUAUGUACAUCUUAUCUCCCUGAUCAUGUUCUGAGCUUGUCGGGUUUUGAUAGCUCGAUAAAACGUCUUAUUAUUCUUAUCUCCACUAUCUAGCCAAUGUAGCUUCGCUUUCUGCUUUAAGUAUUCUUCUUCUAGACUUGCCACAUGUAGGCAUUUACCAUAUGUUUAUGCCUCCUCUUUGACAGAUGCUUCGCUCGGAUUUGCUAGUGUGUUACUCUGCUUCACACAUAGCAGAUCAUACGCCUCUUUUGCUCGAAUUGUUAAGUUGCCCAUCUUAUCUCUUCCCAACUCACGAAUCAACGGCUUCAAAUGCUUUAACUUCUUUGAGAAUCUGAACAACGCCGAGGUAGAGUGAAACAGUCUUUUCGUUGUAUCCCAAUACCUCUGGACCAUAGGAAGAAAGUCAGGCAGGCUACCUAUCACAUUGAUAUACUUGAAGGGUCUUUUGACUUUCUCACUCGGAGGAAACAGUUGAACUUUGCACCUCAUGUGAUCCAAACAUCCCCCUGCUUCAAAAACUGCAUAAGCAUUACUAAAUCUUUGCAGACCCUCUUUAUUUAGUAAUACCCUGUCCAGCUUCUUGCAAAUUACUCCAUCCUCCCUCUUAUUACUCAUGUAAACUGUGGCCCUUGAUAAUGUCAGAGAGCUGACACUGAAGAACCAAACUCUGAAAGUCUCUCAUUCCACACGGGAUCCUACUCAUGUUAUCAAACCUCGAACUCUCAGCUCCAUCAAGAAUUUCAUUAAAGUCUCCCAUGAUCAUCCAAGCUUUAUUUUUGAAGCUAGGAGAACUAUGAUGAUGCACAAGAUCCUCCCACAAUUCCUUCCCACCCUCUACUUGAUUACUCACAUAUAUACAUCAGCAAUAGAACUUUUCUUCUCCUUUCAUCUCCACCAAACAAAUGACUAUCUGAUCAGAUUUAUAUACAGGCAUCAUACGAAUCGUAUCUCUCCAUAAUAACCAUAUUCUUCCUCCUUGGCUAUCUUCGUAAUUUGUUAUUGAUGACCAAUCUCCAAACAGUACUCCUCUUAAAAUCUUCCAUGCUUUCCCUUCCUUAACUCUAGUUUCCAAUAUACAACCAAACUUCAACUCCUUAUUAUAUUUACCCACUCUUUUACUAUGGAAUGCUUCAAAUCUUUAUUGAAUCCACGAACAUUCCAGAAAAAGCACGUCAUUUUUAAAGAUUUCACCGAGAAGACCUUUUACUCUUCGGCUGAACCUCAUGAGCCUUGGUCUUCUGAACUCUUCUUCCACCUCUUAGUUUUACUACCUUGUUUUUCUCUUCCAGGAUCUCAUCCUCCAACAAAUCUCCUUCCAAUAUAUUUGUAUUCUCCGCUUCCUCAUGUUCCUCACUCUCCACUUCCUGUGAUUCUUCUAGUUCACCCUCCUCAACUUCAUCUAUUGAAAGAACAUAAUACUUUGACGCCGAGAUUUGGACUUCACUAGCAUCUCUCUGCAGAGAAUUUUGCACUCUCCCUAUUUUAUCUGGUGAGACAAGUGACCAACCACUACCUCUCACCUGUUUUUCCCCAGUGCCUACCAUUUCAGCCUUAUUAACUUCUCCAAUAGAAUCAUCCUCCGAAAUGACUACCUCCCGGUUCUGUAACUCUUCCUCCUGUUUACUAUCUUUCUCCCUCAACCCUACUAUAGCUUCACUUCCCACUUUAUCACAAUUCUUCUCACCAGUUUCCUUCCCCUCUAUCUUCUUAUCUCUUUUCUUCCUCACACAAACCUUGUCUGUAUGUCCCCAUUUCUCGCACAAGUUACAUCGAGAAGGUAACCAUGUGUAAUAAAAUUCAGCAGUGAACUCCUUCCCUCCCAUUGUGAAAUCAAUCUCCUUAGGCAACGUCUUCGAAAUAUCAACAUUCACAAACACUUUCGCUUCUUCAUAUUUUGAACAAGACAUUGUCUUUGGGUGAAGACGAACAGGAAACUCCACAGUACUCGUCAUGAAGCUUCGAGCCUCCCAUGAGAACGUGUUCAGAGGAAUCUUUCUUAAAUGCACCCACAUUGGUAUAGCUUCCUCCUCCUGCUUAUCCUCUUCUACCUUAGGCGUCCAUUUCUUCACAACCAUAGGAACUCCAGCUAUAUUCUACAUUGGUAUAGUCUUCAUGGCUUUAGCUUUUGGCUUUUAUUAUUUCCUCUGUUUCUACGAUAGUUUCUUCUUUGCUUUCAACUGACCCCCAUAACCUAUGUUGCUUCCUGCUUAAUUAAAAAUCCAAUCAAUAUCCACCACUAAAUAGUCAAACUCUUACCGAGAUUGUCUUGUUGUGAACCUCAGCAACCAACCCAUGUGCUUGAUACCAUGUUAAAGUUCAUAGAAAGAACUUUAAAAACCUCAGCCUUCUUCUUAAUCGACAUUGAAAGAGCAUGAAAUAGUGUGUUGCAAGAGCUUAGCUUAAUGUAAACUUGAGUAGUAUCUGAGUUGAUGAAAAGCUGCACAUUUCUCACUUUGGUUUCUCUGACAUCCAAAUCAGUUGAGACCAAUAUAAAUUUCAAUGUGGUAUUAGUCAGGUAAUUGAAACCUAGAGAAGAAUAACACAUGAAAGGAGUCCAUCAGAGACAGAUAGGCUAAGAAUAACACAAAUGUUAAGUGUAGGCACAAUUCACACUACUUAACGCUUACACUUUGUAGUUCACCUAAAGGAUAAAAUAGGCUAAGAAGUGCCUCGUUGAAUGUUGUACCAGAUAUUUUCGGAUUAUUAACUGCAUAAAAAAGUUAGACACAUUUCCAAAGAGGAAAAGAACAUUACGAUGUAGUCUCUAUAUAUAUUUACAAAUGUCGUAUAUAGUAAAUACCAAGUAAUAUAGACAAAAACGAAACGGAAAGAAAAAGUUCUUGCGAUUCAUUUGGAGAAACAAACAUUGACACUAAGAGAAAUGGAUCUAAUAAAGUAAGAACCCUUAUCAUACAAUUUUGUUUUCCCUUGAAGUUCGGAAUGUAUAAACGGAUCUACGAAACCUUCAUGGUUAAGCUUCCCGUCCACCUUGAGGCGACGAAGUAGCAGUUCGUAAUAUGGCAUUCAAUCAAGGUUCCCACUACAUUUUCUUUAGUUCAAGCAACCGAUGUUAUUGGAUAACACCAACACAGAUUUUCGAGGUCUCUCAAAAUUGAACCUUUACCAGUUUUUCUUCUAAUAUUUUAUUUCAUCGAAACCAAAAAGGAAAGAAAAAGUUUUUGCAAUUCAUUUGGAGAAACAAACAUAUACAUGAAGACAAAUUCUAAAUAGAAAAAAAAACAAUAUUGGAUAAAAUAAAGGACCUUGAGAGCGUGAGGGGAUCACCAACAUCUGUCAAGCUCUGCAUCUAAGGUGGAUUGUUCUGUGUGGAUCCUAGAUCAGAGACAAUGAAUCAAAUCCAAAAAUCGGUGAAUAAAGUCAGCGGUUAAUCUUGAGAGCGACAACGACGGAUCUGGAAGUUCUGAUGUUAGAGACGACGAAUGGGCUUUAUAAAACAAAAACCAGACAUCGAAUAUAAGCAAAAGCCCAAAAAAAAUUAUAAACCUAAACAAAUAAAAUGGUGAGUUUUGUUAAAGCGGACAGGUGUCGCUCCCAGAACGCACGACUUAGUGACAUGGCAGCACCAGGAGGGAGCAAACAUCUUUUUAUAUAAUGGAUAAAAGAAAGGACCUUGAGAGCGUGAGGGCAUCACCAACAUCUGUCAAGCUCUGCAUCUAAGGUGGAUUGUUCUGUGUGGAUCCUAGAUCAGAGACAAUGAAUCAAAUCCAAAAAUCGGUGAAUAAAGUCAGCGGUUAAUCUUGAGAGCGACAACGACGGAUCCGGAAGUUCCGAUGUUAGAGACGACGAAUGGGCUUUAUAAAACAAAAAGCAGACAUCAAAUAUAAGCAAAAGCCCAAACAAAUUAUAAACCUAAAUAAAUGAAACGGUGAGUUUUGUUAAAGCGGACAGGUGUCGCUCCCAGAACGCACGACUUAGUGACAUGGCAGCACCAGGAGGGAGCAAACAUCUUUUUAUAUAAUUAGAUAAUUAGAUAUGCAGAUUCACUUAUCCACAAUAUGAUGUACACACAUGUUCAAACUCACUUUCCACUUUGUUUUAUCCAUGCUCAGGUGUCCAUUUUGUUUUGUCCACUCUCACUCAAACUUCAAUUUUAGACUAUCUACAAUGAGCUAUUGAAUAAUAAAAAAAAAUCAAUAGUUGAAAAGACAAUGGUCUAUUGAAAAACAAGUUGAAUCAUACUUAUAUUAAAUAAAUUUGAAAGAAUUUAACAAUGUUGAAUCGGUAAAGUGGAGCCAGAGUGAAGCCAUCAAUGACCACCUUUCAUGAAGUUAUUGGCUAUAGAGAUUUCUGAUUUGUUUUUCGUCUGAAUUAAUUGAGAUAAAUUAUUUCAUUAAAUAAUUUUGAAAAAAUAUAUUUUUACACCAAGAUUAUCAUGUUUCAUAUUUUAUAAAUAGAGACUUGCUCCAUUUAAUUUUGAAACAAAAAAAACUUAUCUAUUUCUACUAUAUUUUCUAGUAGACUACAAUAAACUCUUGUUUAUAUAUUUUCCCUUUUUCAGUGAAAUGAAUCCCAAAAAUAACUUUUUAACACCCAAAGUUCUACUAAUCAUCCUUUUAACUAUCCAAAUCCAACAACUAUCAGUUUUAAAAUAUUGGAGAAAUGAAUUGGUGCAUACGACAACGCUAAGUGUAUGCAGCAAGGUAUUAGUCGAAAAUGAUAUAUUGGCGCAUGAGCUAUAUUAGAGUGAUAAGAAUGGGCAUUUUAUUUAAUGUCAGAAUGAUGGCUCGCUGUCUGUGAUCAACCACGUUAUGGUAGUCAAGUAUGAGGAAAUACUGGUUUUGGAAGCAGUGGAUUUAAGAGAGCCCAUGAAAGUGAUGCUCGAAACUCCAGAUCUGUAAAAUUUAGUGCUCGUCCAAUGGGGAUGAAUGCAUAUAAGAAGAAAAAAAGAUAAAAAUAUGGGCUCUUACCAGCCUUGGAUGUGGUCAAUGAAAAUUUCAUUGAAUUCAAACAAAUCAAAGGGCAAUAGUUGUAACACUUGAAAAAAUUAGUCAUGUUGCAAAAGAAUUGAAACCAAAGGUGAAAAGAGGCAACCCAAAGGAAAGAAGAAGCAAACAAAUUAAUGAAAUAAAAGAUUCGGUCUACGAAUAUAAAGAUGUGGUUGAAGUCAAGUGAAAAGGUACAUCUCAGUAACAAGAGCAGAGAAAUGUCCCAACAGUUGAGCCACAAAUUAUUUGGAAAUUAAUUGUAGUCCCAAGUGGAUGUUUAUAUCAUGUCACUUCAUGCUUGUUUGUAUCAUGUCACCUCAUGCUUUAAUAAUGUUUGUUUGCUACUUUUUCUUUUAAUAAUGUAACAUGUGACUUUUGGCUUUUAUUGAGAAAAUCUUAUCCUCCAAUCACUCAACAUGCUUUAAGCAUUGAAUGUGGGGCAUAACAAAAGAAGAAAAAAAAUAACAUGCAUCGGACUUUACAUUUAGUUUUCAUUCAAACUUAAAAACGUAGAAUCAUUAACAAUAAUAAAAUAUAAAAGUACUUGCAUGAAGAAUAAACUUUUUUAUAAAAAUCUUUCCUACAGGAAAUGGUAAAAGAGUGGGUUGUCGACUCUGGGCACCAAUGCAUGUCUAUCUUUUUUUCUUUUUCUCUUUGUCUAUAAAAAUACUACACACUCUUCAUUUUCUUCUUUCAAAGGGCAUUCAUUUCAAAUGACAACUGCAUCUUACUAUUGCGAGAACCUUGCAAGAAACAACCCCCAUCCCCCUUCCGCCCAAUCAAGUACCAGUUGCUUCGCAGCGCGGGUAGCCUCAAAUCAAAAAUCUUCUCUACUCAUAAUUUUUUUUUAUUUUCUUGUUUUAUAUAAAAAUUUAAGAUGAAGUUUUAUAUUAUGUUUAACUGAUUUUUCAUAUUUUUUAAGGUUGUCUCAUAUGCUUCUUUCCACCAAACAAUUCAAAAAUCAGAUACAUUUUUUUUGUUUCUUCAAUAAAUUAUGAAACUUCUGAAUUUUUUAAAAUAAGUUAAAUUUCUAUUCGAUAAUACUCAGUAAAAAUCAACCUGUUAUUUACAAAUAUAUUAUAACAUAUGCAAGCAUUUCAAUCAUCUAUAUAAUUUUAAAUAUUAUCUAUAUAUAUAUAUAUUAGUUUUAUGAAUUUAUGCAUGUUAUUGAUAUAAAAAUAUUUUUUUAUAAUAAAUUUAUAUUUGUAUAGUUAAUUAAUAUUUUACAAAAUGAAAUAGUAAAUAUAAUUUUUAUUCGUUCAUAUAUGUACUAUAACACAUGCAUGUAUUUUAAUCUUAUGUAUAAUUGGUUUUUUAAUUUUUUAUCUUCAGUUUUCUCUUAUAUUAAUAUUUUAUUAAAUAUUAUGGUACAUAAUUAAUUUCUAUAGCGAAUUAUAAAUACUUUAAUAGGUAUAACAUUUGUUUAAAUCUUAUGUAUUGCAAUUUAAUUACAGUCAAUAAUUAUUACCCAUCCGUUUUGAUUUACUUGUUAUUUUAGAAAAUCACGCAGAUUAAGAAAAUUAAUAUUUUUUCUGUUAUACCCUUAUCAAUCAAAUUUAUUUACAAGUUUAGUUAUCUAUUUAAUAUUUUAAAUUAGUUGUAAGAAAUAAUUUUCUUGUCGAAUAUUUUGGCUCUUAGCAUUCUUCACCAAAUUAUCUUUAACUAUUAGUUCAAUGAAUUAAUUAAAUUGACUACAUACUCCUGUUAACAUCAAUAUAUUUAGAGGGAAACUAAAAUUUUUACGUUUAAUUAUACGCAAAAACAAAACAUAGUGGAGGCAAGUAAACAGUUCAAAACUUUUGACAAUCAGUAUAUAAACAAAUCGUGCGAUAACAAAAGUAUCAAUGGCUAAUUCUGGUCAAAACCUUUUUACAUUCAACAAAUAAAAAGCAUUAUUUUGAUUUAAAAAAUCGUGUGAUAACAAAAGUAUCAGUGCCAUUUUCUGUCAAAAAUAAUUACUGAAAAAAUAUAAAUAGGCUUGUUAUCUUUAGAUUAUAAACAGUCUGGGCAAUUUUAACAUACAUGUUGACCACAUUGGAAAAGAUAAGAAAAAUAUUUCAUUGUAGAAAAUGGCGGUUGAGAUGAUGUUAAACGAAGAUUUUUUGAAGUAUAGUUAGUUAAUUUAAAACAUUUUGUUAUUUUAUAUUAAAGUUAGAAUAGUUAUUUUCUUGUAUAAAUCAUAUUGAAAAACGAGAAUGACGCUUAAUUUGUGACAAAAAUCAAACCUAAAACGACAAGUAAAUCGAAAUGAUGGCAGUAAUAUAUAAUCAGAAAAAGAAACAUAUAAGAACGUAAAAUUAUGAAAAAAAAAUUGUAGGGUAUUUUUCAACAAACCAUUGUGAAAUAUAAAAAAUGAGUGGGUAUUGAAUUAUUAUGUAGACGAUAGAAACGAUGACGGGGAAGAGAGAGCAGAUAAUGUUGAGUGUAUGAAAUGUUGAAAUCAUUGUGGAUAAUGUUAGACUAUCUACAAUUGUGGGUAAAUUUACCACCCUCAUUUUUUUUUAUUUUUUAACACUCUAUAUCAUUUUCUCGUUUUUCCACCUAAUUAUUCAACAACAAUUUCAUUUUUAACCAUACAAUAGUUUUGUUUAAUAAAAUUCAACAUCAUACCCCAUAAUUUUUAAUUCAUAAGUUUUUAUUGUUUAUAAUUUAAACUAUAUUAAUAAUUUGAUUAUAAUUAACUUAAAUAAUUAAAGUAUCAAAGUUUUUACUAAUUUUUAUUUAUAUCCUUCACUAAGUUUUGAAUAUCAAUAGUACAACUAAUACUAUUAAAAUUCAACUAUGUUCUAAUUAACACACAAAAAAAAACUGCAAUAUAGUGAAAACAAUUAUUUUCUGGUGUCCAAAUCAAGGAAACCAAGUCUUUAUCUAUAGAAUAUAAAAAGUUAUGAAUUUUGAUAUAACUUAUUUUAAAAAACAUAUUAUUUGAUAUACAAUAAUUGAUCUUAAAAACUAUGGUGAAAUAAAAAUCUAUAAAAUCUAAACAACUACUAAUAUAAUGACAUGUGUACCAAUUCACUCAUUUUAAUUUUUUUUUAAAAACUAAAAAUUCAUUUUUGAUAACUUUUUAUUUAUUUAAGUGUGUCUUAUAGUGAUCAAGAUAACUUUGUGGGUUCUACUGUUGGCUCUUCCAACAGGUUGAAUCCACAUCAUAUUUUUAAGUUUUUCAACAGAUUCAUUGUGGGUAGUUUUACACCAUUAACAAUGAUUACAUGAUUCAACACCCUAUUUUCAUCUUUUUAACAUUCACAUCAUCUUCUCUCUCUCUUCCACACAAUCAUUCAACAACCACUUUAUUUUUGUAACAUCUACCAUAUUUUUGUUUAAUAAAUUCAACACUUUACCCACUAUUUUUUAAUUCAUAUUUUUAUCCUUUACAAUAUACUAACUAUUUAUUAAUAAUUUUUUAUUAUAAUUAAAAUAAAUAUUUAAAAGGACAAAACAAAUUACCAUUUUUUUCAAGUUGGAUAUUCAUAUAUUUUAAAAAAUAUAUUAUUAAAACAAAUGAAAUCAUUAAAAUUACUCAUACCACCAAGAGGUAUUGGCAUAGAUAAUUUAGAAAAAUCAGUUGCUACAAUAAUAUUUCAAAUAGAAAAAAAAUAAGGUGUUUGAGAAAAAUAAAUCAUCAUUGAUCGAUGAUAUGGAAGAUAGUUUGGAAAAAUGAAGACAUGAAGAAAUUUGGUGAAAAACCAUAAUUUGGUAUAUUUUUUGGUUAAUUGAAAAUUUAGUUUUGAAAUUGAUAAUUUUGGGGAUUUGGGUAAUUACAAAGAAAAUUAGAAGAAUUUCAGAUGUUAAAAGAAUUAUUAUCUCGAUCCAUUUAUCAAAAAGAAGAUUAAAAAACCAAAAUAGUUUAUUAGAGUGAAAAAUGACGUUUUAUUUUUUAUACCCAAAUGAAAUGAAAUUGAUCUCUAUUUAUAGAUCAUAACAAAUCACGAGUUUUUGUACAAUAUUUUUUAAAUGUUAUAACACCAAAAUAGUUGAUUAUAGUGAAAAUGACGUUUUAUUUUCUGUACCAAAAUUAAAUGAAAUUGGUCUCCAUUUAUAGAUCAUACAAAAUCACGAGUUUUUGUAUAAUAUCUUUUAAAUAUUUUAGUAUAAAAUAAAUGAGUUCAAAUUAUUGGGUAAUAUUUUUGAAAAAAAAAAGAAUCUGGAAAGCCACUGAGAAUCAGAUAUGUGUCUCUAUCUAAAUACAUCAUGAGUGUUAUACACGCGUCCAACAUUUUUUCUAAUUAAAAUUUAACAAGUGUCAAAGCUGCCCCAGAAAGAAAAAAAUUGGUUGAAUACUUUCAACUUUUAUGAAUCCACGUGUUUUAUUCCCAAAAUCAACACUCUGGUUGCACGUUGUUCAACAGUUGAAUUAAUAACUUAACAUGUUCACUUUGGAUAUUCUUAUAACAUUGGUUUCAUAUCUUGUUCUACAUCGUUGAUUCAUCACUUAUUCAAUAUUAACUUCCUGGUAGUCCAUUAAAUUAAGUCUCUAGUUUUUUUUGCAUAAAAUUUGAUAAAAUUUUGUGUCUAGUUACGACACAAUGUUCACAAAACUUUAUGAAUGUAUUACACAUACGAGCACAUUUAUGUUUUUCUUACAGAUAAAGACACAUUCCACUUAAGAAGCACAUUGUGUUUUAAUCAACGAGAUUUUUGACAUAUUUACCCUUGUUCUUGAAACAGAGUGUAGACGUUCCGUUAAUAAGACUACCUUUGUUUUAUUCCCAAAAUCAACACCCUGGCUGCACGUUGUUCAACAGUUGAAUUAAUAAUUUAACAUGUUCACUUUGGAUAGUCUUAUAACACUGGUUUCAUAUCUUGUUCUACAUCGUUGAUUCAUCACUUAUUCAAUAUUAACUUUCUGAUUAGUCCAUUAAAUUAGGUCUCUAGUUUAUUUUGCAUAAAAUUUGAUAAAAUUUUGUGUCUAGUUACAACACAAUGUUCACAAAACUUUAUGAAUGUAUUAAACAUACGAGCACAUUUGUGUUUUUUUUACAGAUAAAGACACAUUCCACUUAAGAGGCACAUUGUGUUUUAAUCAACGAGAUUUUUGACAUAUUUAUCCUUGUUCUUGAAACAGAGUGUAGACGUUCUGUUAAGAAGAAAUGAGAACAAUAAGUAACUAGUUAUAGCACUUGGGUAUUAAUAUUUUAUAUAAUUAUUAUAUACUACACUGUUUUAUGUAACGGAAAACAAACCAAAUGAAAAAGACAUAGUUUAUCUUUAUUAUUAUCAUUUAUUCUACCUCUUUAUAUUUUGUUUUACUUUAUUUUAAAUUUAAAGAUAUAUAAAAAAUGCUUGAUGUAAUAAAUUAUGUUCUUUAUUCUCUAUAAUUUGUCAUCAACUUUGAUAUUUUUAUUUUAAAUUUAUACAUAAAAUAGUAUGGACUAAAACAUGGACAAAGGAGUUGUGGAUAUGAACAUUCUGAUUGUGUACAUUCCAAAAAUGACUAAAUAGUUUUAUAUGUUAGCAAUUUGAAUAUAUAAAAACAUAAAUUUUUGUUGGAGAAACCAUGUGAAGUGAAUUACGUAUUUUAUGGAAGAGAAAUAUGGUCAUAUAUGUUGUGGAUAAAUAAAGAAUAUGGGUUCAUACAUUAAGAAGACCAUUCUGCAUAUUUAAGAAUUUUGAGGUAAAAGCUUAAAUAAUCAAAAGACAAGGGACCAACAAUGCAAAAAGAUAAAACAGCACCAUUGUUGGUCUCGAGACCUCUGGCUUCUAAUCAACUUGGGCGAGUGAGGCAGGAUGGACUCCGACUCCUUUCACCAACAUGUUAUCUCGGCUAUACUUUUUCGUAUAAACCGCAAAUAAAAACCGAUGUUGUUCUCCGUUAUCUCUUUCUCUCUCUUGUUACAGAUAUGGCUUCUCGCCACUGUUUCUCUCUUUCUCUAGUUUCUCAAUCUUCAACUGAAGCAAUCUGAAAAACCAUAAUAUGAAGAAUACUUGGGUAAAUGAUAUCUUGCAUAUUUACAUUGUCUUAUCCAUUUAUUCAUGUGCAUUUUCAUCAUAUAGAUUAGGAUUUAGCCAUGUCUAGGUUGCAUUUUGCAUACAUAUGUCUCUAUCAGGUAUUUGAGUACCACAUGGAGUUUCUGGAGACAUUUGGGUGCAUUUGGAGCUCAAAGGAGGUGAUUAGAGUGGUCUUUGGACGAGCACUGCCUGAAGCGACUUCUCGGAGCGACGGCAUGAGGUCGCUGUGCACCACAUCCCGGAGCGACUCAUCCAGAGCGACUGCACAAAGUCGCUCGCGUUUUCACAUUGAGGUUGUAGAAAAAUCCCUUGUAGAUUUCAAAAAGAAAGAGUUAAAGUUCUUAGGAUCUAUUGGUGAGAGAUGUGAGUUGGGUUUGACAUUUGGGAAUGAUUGUGUAAUUGUAUGUUUGGGAAAAGGGUAGAAUAAUGGAGAUUGAGCAUUGUAUGCAUGAGUUGGUCCCUUUCUUAGAUAUAUUAUGUGCAAUGUCAAGGCUACUUGUUUUGAGAGUAAACCACCUUAAAGAUCAUAUGUUUUGAACCUCUUGAAUCACUUGAAUAAAAGCCUUCCCUUUCCCAACCAAAUGACUUGGACCAACGGACCAUUUGCAAGAAUUCACCUGAUGUUUUCUGCUUAAUGAAUGUGAGAGUUGGUUGAUUUGAAUGUGUGGAUGCUUGAUGAUGAGUGUAGGGACAAAAGGAGUUGAGAUAGGCCUAGAGAAGCUAGAGUGUAAUAAGAGAGUGUGCUAAUUAUGUUUGCUAGUUGUGUUUCUUUUGGCUAUGAGCUCCCACCUUCAAACCUCUCUCCUUAUGAGUUCUAGAAAGUUCACUUGAGGACAAGUAAAAGAACAAGUUUGGGGGAGUUGAUAUCUUGCAUAUUUACAUUGUCUUAUCCAUUUAUUCAUGUGCAUUUUCAUCAUAUAGAUUAGGAUUUAGCCAUGUCUAGGUUGCAUUUUGCAUACAUAUGUCUCUAUCAGGUAUUUGAGUACCACAUGGAGUUUCUGGAGACAUUUGGGUGCAUUUGGAGCUCAAAGGAGGUGAUUAGAGUGGUCUUUGGACGAGCACUGCCUGGAGCGACUUCUCGGAGCGACGGCAUGAGGUCGCUGUGCACCACAUCCCGGAGCGACUCAUCCAGAGCGACUGCACAAAGUCGCUCGCGUUUUCACAUCCGGAGACACACAUUUUGAUCUCGGAGCGACCUUCCAGAGCGACGUGCUGAAGUCGCUCCCGAAGCUUGGAGCGACCUUACCAGAGCGACAGGGAGAAGUCGCUCGCCAUUUUGGUUCUCGGAAACACGAAAUCGCUCUCGGAGCGACCUCUCGCAGCGACCCAGCGAGGUCGCUCCCGAAGCCUAGAGCGACGUGCUGGAGCGACUUGCCGAGGUCGCUGCGCGUCGCCUAUCUGCUCGAAUUAAUGUUUUCUCAAGGGCCUUUUUGUCAUUUUAUUAUGCACGUUUUUUAUUCUGAAAACCUAUGUUUUAAUACUCUGUAAGCCACCAAGAGGGGAUUAUCUUUGUUCUUAGAAAAACCACCAAAAACCUUUGGAAAGUCAUCUCUUUGAAUCAAUUGAUCAGUUUAUUAUUGAGAAUUCUGUGUUCUUAUCUAUUUUUCCUGUGUUUCUCUACAUGAUUAAUCUGAAAUCCAACAUGGGUUUAAGAGGAAUCAUGGAGAUUAGUGAGUAAUCCCUUUUGAAUUCAUGGGUUAGGGAGAUUGAGGGUGAUUAGGUUAGAACUAGGAUGUUUUAGUGUAGAUCAUUCAUAUUUCCUUGCUAGUUGAGUGAGCAUAAUGCAUCUUCUGAGUUGGCCACUCAGUAGUUGAAUCUUAGGCAUUUCCCCCCGAAAGGUGUUCGAGGAAAUGCCCGAGACAACUCUUUUUAGCUUUUAGCAUACUUUGCCAAAGACAUUUGUUGUUAGAGGUGCUAAGAUAGCCAUUGGACUUGCUGGUUAUGAUUGCUUUCAUAUUAUUCAACCAAAGACAUUUGAUGUUUGAAUUGUGUUAAGUAAAUGAACAUUCAUCUAGACAUAGAGUUUGUUUAGGAUUGUGUCCAAGCUUAAGGUUAAUAGAUUGAUUGAUCGUUUGCCAUCUUUAGUUCGAAACUUGAUCACCCGAGGUCUAAUCCCUAUAUCCAUGAGUUCUCUUUUCCAAUAGUUAAGAAAGUAUCAUUUAGUUAUUUCUUUUAAUUAGUCAUAGUUUAAAAACCCAUCUAAAUCAUUGAUUGCACUUAGAUUAAGUGAUUACUUGCAUUCUCGGUGCUUUGAUAUCUCUCAGAACUGGUUCGACAAUCAUUUAUACUACAGCAUUUGUCUUAGGAGCCUUGAAAACUCCUAACAUCAAAUUGGCGCCGUUGCCAAAUUCUGAGUAGAUUUAAACAUUGAGAUUUAGUCAAUUGCUUGAGACUAAGUCAUUUUUAUUUUCUUUUGUUACUGACUCUUCUUCACCUCCCUUUAAUCUACAGGUGUAUGAACUUGCGGAGCAGGGGUCCAUCAAACCUAGUUCCAAGAGCAGCAGACAUCAGAGCUUUAGAGAGAGAGUGUGCUAAAAGAGAAGAGAAGAAGAACAUCAGGCUCAAUUGCAGAGACUGAACACUGACAUGGGAGACGUUCAUCAAGAAGAUGCAGGCGUCAAUGGCGCUAACAACAAUGGUCCACCUAACCAACAGCGAGCAGCUCGACCCAUUGGCACUUACGACCGUCCAAACAUUCAUGGUCAUAGAUUGGGAAUCCGAGCACCCGCUGUGGCAGCCAACAACUUUGAGAUCAAGUCAGGACUCCUCAACGUGAUUGAGAACAACAAGUAUCAUGGCUUGGCUCUAGAGGAUCCAUUUGAUCACUUGGACAGGUUCGACAGCUACUGUGGGUUGUCAAAAACCAAUGGUGUGUCCGAAGAUGCUUUAAAGCUCAAGCUAUUCCCUUUCUCUUUGGGGGAUAAGGCACGUCAGUGGGAGAAGUCUCUACCCAGCGACUCCAUUACCACUUGGGAUGACUGCAAGAAAGCAUUCUUGGAGAAGUUCUUCUCUACUUCAAGAACUGCUAAGCUGAGAAACGAGAUCUCCAGCUUUCAACAGAAGGGCUUGGAAGGUUUCAGUGAAGCCUGGGAGAGAUUCAAGGGCUACCAAGCUCAAUGCCCACACCAUGGUUUCUCUAAGGAGAGCUUGCUGAGCACAUUCUACCGUGGUGCUCUCCCUAAGUACAGGGCCAGACUGGAUACAGCUAGUAAUGGGUUCUUCUUGGGGAGAACUGAGGAGGAUGCAGAGGAGCUGGUUGACAACAUGGUUAAGAGUGAUGCAGUCUACAGUGGAGACCACGACAGAGGCAGUAGAACUGAUGAUAAGCAGACGAGGAAGGAAUUGAAGGCUCUACAGGAUAAGAUAGACAUCCUCAUUGCUGAUAAAGCUACCCAAGAGCAGCUGCACUUUGUUGGCAACCCAAGCCAAGAGACACCAGUUGUUGUCCAUGAAGUUGAGGGUUUGGAAGGUCAGGAAGAGCUGUGUUUCAUCAACAACAAUGGUAGCUGGUACAAGAAAGAACCCAACUUUCAGUACAACAACUACCAACAGAAAUCCUAUUCCAACAACCAACAGAGUGGUUAUCAGCCUCGGAACAAUCAGCAAGGCAGCUAUCAACCUCAGCAAAACCCUCCUCCUGGAUUCAACAACAAGGGCAACCAUUCUUCCCAACAACAAUCUAAUCCCUCUACCUCCACUCCUCAAGUCAGCAGCACUGAUGCUCUACUGAAACAAAUCCUGGAGUCUCAAACAAGAAGUGAGAAGCAUGUUGGCUAUGAGUUGAAGAAUCUUCACUCAAAGAUUGAUGGGAGCUACAAUGAGCUCAACAACAAGUUCAGAGCUUUGGAGAACCAGUUUGCUGCCAUGAACACUCAACAAAAUCGCCAACAAGGUUCUCUACCUGGAAAAUCUGAGCAAAACCCCAAGGAAACCAUGAAAGCUAUCACUCUCAGGAGUGGUAAGGAGUUACCUCAGAGAACUCUCACCAAGGAUGCUGAGAAACAAAGUGAGGGGGUUGCCAUCACCAUAGAUGAUGAAGUGGUGAUUGUUGAUGAGAAGAUCAAUGACGAGAUCUUGGAAAAGAUAGUGGAAGCAAAAGGAAAAGGAAAGGUUGGAGAAGAGAAGAAAACAGUUAAAGAUGGUGAAGUUGUCACUCCUGCAAGUGAAAACUCUUUUGUUCCUCCUGCCUAUGAACCCAAGCUUCCAUUCCCAGGUCGAUUCAAGAGGCAGCUGCUAGAGAAGUACAAAGCUUUGUUUGACAAGCAAAUGAGUGAAGUCCAGGUCACAAUGCCCAUUAUUGACGCUUUCAUGCUGAUCCCUCAGUACAGCAAGUUCCUCAAAGAUGCUGUAGCUGCAAAGAAGAAAGAGAUGGAGGGCAUGGUGAUUCUCACUCAUGAGUGCAGUGCUAUCAUUCAGAGACUGGUCAUUCCAAAGAAGCUAGAAGAUCCAGGAUGCUUCACAUUACCUUGUGCUCUUGGACCUAUGGUAUUUGAUAGAUGUCUCUGCGAUUUGGGAGCUAGUGUCAGCUUGAUGCCCCUAUCUGUUGCUAAGAAGCUGGGUUUCACUCAGUACAAGAAGUGUAGACUUUCUCUGGUAUUGGCUGAUCGUUCAGUGAAGUACCCUGUGGGUAUCUUAGAGGACCUCCCAGUGAUGGUUGGAAAUUAUGAGAUCCCUACAGACUUUGUGGUGCUUGAAAUGGGUGAAGAAGCUCAAGAUCCUUUAAUCCUUGGAAGACCUUUCUUAGCCACAGCAGGAGCUAUUGUUAAUGUUAAAGAAGGCAAGAUUGAUCUCCAUCUGGGUAAAGGGCACGUUCUGCAUUUCGACAUCAAGGAAGUAAUGAGGAGGCCAACAGUUCAAGGACAAGUGUUCUACAUCGAAGAGAUGGAUGCCCUUGCUGAUGAACUCCUUGAAGAGUUGUCACUAGAGGACCCUCUACAGCAUGCUUUAACUGUAGAGAAGGAGACUGAGGUGAUUGAGAACCUGGAGAGUACUGCCUAUGGGAUGAUGCUGGAUUCACACCAGGCGUUUUUCAGUAAGGACCAGUACGAGGAGCUUCCACAGAUGGUUCACCAACAAGUCUCAGUCACUCAACAAGAGGACAACCAGCAGGAUGACUGGAGUGAACUUAAGGCACCUAAAGUGGAGCUUAAACCUCUUCCCCAUGGUGUAAGGUAUGCAUUCCUUGGUCCUAAUGAAACUUACCCUGUCAUUGUGAGUAGUGAACUUACUGAAAAUGAGCUAUCUGAACUUUUGAAAACACUUAAAAGAUUUAGAAAGGCAAUAGGUUACUCACUAGAUGACAUCAAGGGGAUAUCACCCUCUUUGUGCAUGCAUAGGAUACAUCUUGAGGAUGAAUCAAUGACUUCUAUCGAGCAUCAAAGAAGGUUAAAUCCUAACCUGAAGGAUGUUGUAAAGAAAGAGAUUCUUAAACUCCUAGAUGCUGGUGUUAUUUACCCUAUCUCAGAUUCUAAAUGGGUAUCACCUGUGCAUGUUGUACCAAAGAAAGGUGGUAUCACUGUGAUCAAGAAUGACAAGGAUGAAUUGAUACCAACAAGAACCAUCACAGGUCAUAGAAUGUGCAUUGAUUACCGAAAACUAAACUCUGCAUCUAGAAAGGAUCAUUUUCCACUACCAUUUAUUGAUCAGAUGCUUGAGAGACUUGCAAAUCACCCAUUCUAUUGUUUCCUUGAUGGGUACUCAGGAUUUUUCCAAAUCCCCAUACAUCCCAAUGAUCAAGAGAAAACGACAUUCACAUGUCCCUAUGGUACCUUUGCAUAUCGAAGAAUGCCAUUUGGACUAUGUAAUGCUCCAGCCACCUUUCAAAGGUGCAUGAUGUCAAUUUUCUCUGAUCUGAUUGAGGAUGUUGUGGAGGUAUUCAUGGAUGAUUUCUCUGUCUACGGAUCUUCGUUUUCUGCUUGUUUGUCAAAUUUGUGCAGGGUCCUACAGAGAUGUGAAGACACCAACCUUGUGCUGAAUUGGGAGAAGUGUCACUUCAUGGUCAAGGAAGGGAUUGUGCUAGGACACAAGAUUUCAGAGAAGGGGAUUGAGGUGGAUAAAGCCAAAAUCGAUGUUAUGGUUGGUCUGCCUCCACCAAAGACAGUGAAAGACAUCCGGAGUUUUCUUGGUCAUGCUGGAUUCUACAGGAGGUUCAUCAAGGAUUUCUCCAUGAUCACUAGACCUUUGACCAGACUGCUGUGCAAGGAAGCUACCUUCAGUUUUGAUGUAGAAUGUCUACAAGCUUUCAAGAAGCUGAAAGGUGAACUCGUUAGUGCCCCAAUUGUCCAGCCACCUGAUUGGGAUCUCCCUUUUGAGAUCAUGUGUGACGCCAGUGACUAUGCUGUGGGAGCUGUUCUGGGGCAGAAGAAAGAUGGCAAAACCCAUGUGAUCUAUUAUGCCAGCCAAACCCUCAAUGAUGCCCAGAUGAAGUAUGCCACAACAGAGAAGGAGAUGCUGGCAAUUGUUUUUGCCUUUGAGAAGUUCAGGAGCUACUUGGUUGGGUCUAAAGUCAUUGUCUACACAGAUCAUGCCGCCUUGAGACACCUUUUGGCCAAGAAGGAUGCAAAACCCAGGCUUUUGAGGUGGAUCCUUUUGCUCCAAGAGUUUGAUAUGGAGAUCAAGGACAAACCUGGAGUUGAGAAUGGAGUAGCUGAUCAUUUGUCCAGGUUGAGGGUAGAGUCUGGUAUCCCUAUUGACGAAGGACUUCCUGAGGAGCAGAUCAUGGCUAUCGAAGCAGUGAUAGCAGUUUGUGAGACUGGUAGGAAGCUGGAAGAAGUCAAAGCAACAGAGGAGAAGGAACCUUGGUAUGCUGAUUUGGUGAACUACCUAGCCACAGGAAGAGAACCUUUGAAUCUUGUAGGGUAUGCCAAGAAGAAGUUCUACAAGGAUGUGAAAAGAUAUUACUGGGACGAACCCUACCUCUACAUUCUCUGCAAAGAUCAGCUUUAUAGGAGAGUGGUUGCAAAUGAGGAGAUUGAUGGGAUCCUUGCACAGUGUCAUGGAUCAUCCUAUGGAGGUCACUUUGCCACCUUCAAGACAGUUGCAAAAGUAUUACAAGCUGGAUUCUGGUGGCCACACAUGUUCAAGGAUACACAAGACUUUGUUUCGAAGUGUGAUUCUUGCCAAAGAAGAGGAAACAUCACCAAGAGGAAUGAGAUGCCUCAAAAUCCAAUCCUUGAAGUUGAAGUGUUUGAUGUCUGGGGUAUUGACUUCAUGGGACCAUUUCCAUCAUCUUUUGGCAACAAAUAUAUCCUUGUGGCUGUUGAUUAUGUCUCCAAAUGGGUGGAAGCCAUUGCAAGCCCCACCAAUGAUGCUAGAGUUGUAAUCAAGAUGUUCAAGAGCAUCAUCUUCCCAAGGUUUGGAGUUCCAAGAGUUGUAAUCAGUGAUGGAGGUUCCCACUUCAUUAACAAACUGCUUGAGGGACUUCUCAAGAAGAACGGUGUGAAGCACAAGGUGGCAACUCCUUAUCAUCCCCAAACAAGUGGCCAAGUUGAGAUUUCUAACAGGGAGAUCAAAUCUAUCCUGGAGAAGAUUGUGGGGAUUACAAGGAAGGAUUGGUCUAAUAAGCUUGACGAUGCACUUUGGGCUUAUAGGACAGCGUACAAGACACCACUGGGUACCACACCUUUCAACCUAGUGUAUGGGAAAGCUUGCCAUUUGCCAGUGGAGCUUGAGUACAAGGCACUAUGGGCAAUAAAGUUGCUGAACUUUGACAUCAAGAGUGCCAAGGAGAAAAGGCUCUUUCAGCUACAUGAGCUUGAUGAGAUAAGAUUGGAUGCUUUCGAGAACUCAAGAAUCUACAAGGAGAAGACUAAGGCUUUCCAUGACAAGAACAUCCUGAAGAGAGAGUUUAAAGAAGGAGACCAAGUUCUUCUCUACAACUCUAGGCUGAAGUUGUUUCCAGGAAAGCUUAAGUCAAGGUGGUCCGGUCCUUUCAAGGUCAAGGAGGUUAGACCAUAUGGAGCAAUAGUUUUGUGGAGCACUGAUGGAAGAGACUUCACAGUCAAUGGACAAAGGGUUAAGCUCUACAUGGCUACUGCACCAGAGGAAGAUGGGGUUUCAACUCCACUGUCUGAUCCUACCCCGGCCUAAUCUAAAAGGAGGCAAAGUCAAGCUCGGGACUUAAAACAAGCUCACUUGGGAGGAAGUCCCAUGCGUAUCCUUGUACAUAUUGCAUUGGUAUUUCCAUUUUUCAUCUUAUUGCAUAAAAAAAAAAAAGAGAGAGAAGUUGUGUGCAGGUGCUUGAUCGGUUCAUUUUGAGCAGGAGUCGUGCGUGGGAGCGAGGUCUCACAGCGACACCUCAAGGUCGCUCCAGCUGGGAGCGAGGUUUCGAGAGCGACACUCCAUGGUCGCUCGCGUUUUCGUCGUCGGAUCAAGAAAAAAUCGCCUCAGAGCGAGGUCUCGGAGCGAGGCCGAAGGGUCGCUCCAGCUGGGAGCGACAUUAUGGGAGCGACACCUCGGAGUCGCUCGCGUUUUCGACGAAACGGAGCUCAAAAACUGACCCGGAGCGACGUCCUAGAGCGACACCUUGAAGUCGCUCCAGCCCAGAGCGAGGUUUCUAGAGCGACACUUCAAGGUCGCUCGCGGUUUUGUCGAAACACGACGCGAGGAAACGACUCGGGAGCGACCUCUCCCAGCGACACCCUCACGUCGCUCCCGAACCGGUCCAGGUAAGUUUCCUAACUCUAAACCCCGGUUUAAUUCAAGUAAACCGACCCUAACCACCCUAAACCGAACCGGACGACCCUAAACCUACCCCAACCCCCGCGACUCCUAUCUCUCUCACUCUCCCCUCCUCUCACAAACUCACAAACUCUCUCAAACUCACCCACACCAAAAAUCCCAAAACCUUCUCAAUUCUCACCCAAAUCAACUAGUUCUUGUUUCUAAACCAAGCUUUCGCCCCUGUAGCCUAUUCCUCACCACCCAUUCACCAUUUCCUUUCAUCCAGAGCAAGGUAUUGAGUUUUUAAAUUCAAAUUCGUAGGUCCAUGAACCCUAGAAUUUGAAAGUCGAAAUUUGGUCACUUUCUUGCUAGAUUGUGGUGAAAUAGACUAGGGAAAGUUUAUCUAUCAAGUUGGGUUGUUGAAUUAAUGGUGAAAUUGAGUUUAAUUUGCACUUUGGCAAAAUUAGGGUUCAUGGAAUUAGGGAUUUUCGAAUUUGACCUUAAUUGGGUGAGUUUGUGGGUGAACUAGAUGUGUUAAGGUGUUACAAGAGUGAGAAUUGUUGCAUUGUGUUGAACUUGAGUUUAAAUUGAUAAUUCAUUUGUUAAGUUCACUUUUGCAAUUUUCUCUUGCAAAAUCCUGUUUUUCUUUACUUCCAACUACUUAUCCCUUUUCAAGUUUUUACUUCUUCAGGUGAAAAUGGUUAAGAAGACAAAGGGAAAGUUGGAAGCUGAGAAGCAAGAAGCUGAAAGAACAGAGUUUGCAUUAAGAGGAAAAGCUUUAUCCUGCGAGCCAACUGGGUCAGGGACGCAGAGAACCGUUCGACAGCAGACUUUGGCUGCAAGGAAAUCGCAAGAACAAGAGAAGAGGGCUGGGAAAAGUGUAGCAGUUCCCACUCAUGAGGAGAGUGAAACUGAGAGUGCUGAUGAGCAGGCACCUACGAAGAAAGCCAAGAUGUCCAAAGGAAAAGGGGUUGCUGUUGAUCGAGACAGGGCAAAAACUCCAUCUGUGGAGGAGCUGUAUGAUCACUUGAAGAAUGGGUCACUUGGGCUCCAACCAGGUUCGCCGACCUCGAUUUGCUGAAGGAGUUGGGCCUAGAAUCCGAUAUUGAGGCGAUGCUGGGACAUUUGAAGAUGCCAAAACUCCUCACCAUGGCUUAUCCUUUCUACAAGGAUGUCACUUGUCAGUUCCUAUCCUCUCUUGUGGUCACUUACCACGACACGGCGCAUGUGAGGCAAGGAUGGGGAAAAAUCACGUUCAAGGUCAAUGGAAGGGAAUACAACAUGAACUUCAAGGACAUUGGGAGGGUCAUGGGGUUCCAAGACCUAGAAGACCACUCACUUCCCAAGUGUGAGAACCUCCCCACAGAGCUUUGGAAGUUGAUCACUGGAAACAGGCACUCUACCGGGGCUGACAAGAACUCACACAUCCGACACCCGUCUGUACGCUACCUCCACAGAUUGCUAGUCCAUGCUUUCUACCCACGGAAGCAAGCUGGUAAUGUUACUGAGGAAGACAUGCGACUGCUCUGUCCGGCUAUCCGUCCUUACGCUCAACCUGGAGUGUUACCCCUUCCCAGCACUGAUAUCUAUGCUACCUUUGGGAUGGUCAGUUUCUUUGUGGGCCGUCUCGAACACUACAGAGACUGGGCGUGGUACACCACUGAUUCGCGCCCAAAGAUGGGGAUAGGCGGAAUGAUCACACCACUGCUCCAAUUUCUGAAUGUUCCCUUGGGAAAGGACGCAGCGGGGCCUAGGUUCAUUGAUGGCACCUACUUGAGGAUUGCCACCUAUUUCAGUGGGAUGUAUGGGAAGGACUACGUCUACCACUACUACUUGCAGGGCAAGCCAGUCGAGGUGGUUCUUCCAAACCGGAACCUGACGAGUUUAGAGAUACCAGGAGCUGUCAGCUUCAACAUUCCCCAGGAGUACUUUCUCGGAGAACACGGGCCUCUCGAUCCAAUUCAAGCAGCUUCAUCAAGGAGAAGGAGUGUCCCUACGCAACCUGACCCGCCUGUUGCAGACACGUCUGAGCAUAUCUAUGGACCUCCGCGCUACUACUUCAAGCCCCAUGACGGAGUCCUUCCCCCUGGAGCUCUCCGUGAUGCUCAUGACCACAUUGGUCGUCUCCAGAGGUGGAACAAAGCUCAGGACAGAACGAUAGAAAAGCUGAAGGAUAAGUGCAAGGCGCUCAGCAAGACUGUGAAGAAGCAGGCAAAGACUUCAGCCAAGUUCAUGAAGAAAGUAGCUGAUGUCUUAACUAGGGGAGGAAUAGCUGGAUGUAGCUCAGCCGAUUUCGCUUUCGCGAACACCUCAAACCCCCAGCCCCCACCCCCGCCUGAUGCUCUUGGCUUCCCCCUCACUGCUGCGCAGCUUCAGCGUAAGUGGAGGAACCCACCCACUCAACCUUCCACUUCCGGCAACAAAUCCCCAUCCCUCGCUUCUUCUGACAGUGAGCACGAGAUUGACGAGGUUGAGAGCCAGCCAUGGUAUGGAGGCUCCGGUUCAGCAUCCGGUGGUUACUACACCACCUUCCCUCCUGACGACGACGAUGCUGGGGCAUCUGCCCCCACCUAUUAUCCAUAGGAGGUACUUCUUUCUCUCCCUUGUAUAUACCAUCUCAUUUUUUUUUUUUUGCAUAUUAGUUUUCUUCUCGGUAUCUCCUUCUUUCUUUGACAACACAGAGACUGUGUAACUCAAGUUUGGGGGAGGUACCAAGCAUUUGAUCACGUUUGCUUUGAUUGUGUUUCAUUUGAGUCAUGCAUUGCACACCUAUUUGCAUAAAAAAAAAAAAAAAAAAGAUUUUUCAUUUAGUUUGCAUCAUUUGCACCAUUAGGAGAGUCUAGAGCAUAUAGGGUGCAUUCACUUGCAUUGGGAGCAAUGAUUUUAAAUGCCUUGUAAAGAACACUACGUUGCACCAUUGAGUAGCCAUGCACCUCUCGAAAAGACUUGUAUGUUUCGAGCCUUGAAAACUCUUCUUGAAACUUGUUGAUUGCUGAAACUCAGUCUUUGAAGCCAACUACAACCUUAUUAGAAAUGAAUGAACUUAAUGCUUCUUGCUUAGGGUCCCUUGUGUACUGAGUCAUGGCUAUACACACUGGAGUUGUCACAUCUUUUAUGCCAAUCUUUUUGACAAACUCUAGUGGUAGACCACUCCCAAAACCUUUCCUUCCUUUUAAGCUUUCAUUGUUUGAUGAGUGAGGCCUUCUUCGGAAAGUCUUACAUGCGCAUAAUGUUGAGAGUAUCGGGAACGACAAUGCUUGAUCUUCAUUUUUGCUAGAUUGGACACUCUUUUGUCUAGCUAUAGGUGGGAGGGUGAGUGUUGUGAUCAUGAUUUGGGAGAAAUGAAAAAUAAAAAGGAUAGACUCUUUGUGCUUAAGUGAAUUGAUUUUCUGGGAUAAGUAGAGAACCUCUAGCUCUAGUUUCGAAAAGUCUUGGCCCCCAACCUAAAAAAAAAAAAAAAAAAAAAAAAAAAAAAAAAAAAAAAAAAAAAAAAAAAAAAAAAAAAAAAAAAAAAAAAAAAGGGGGCUAGCAAAGUUGUUAGGAGCUAAGAAAUGUUUUGAGGUUGUAGAAAAAUCCCUUGUAGAUUUCAAAAAGAAAGAGUUAAAGUUCUUAGGAUCUAUUGGUGAGAGAUGUGAGUUGGGUUUGACAUUUGGGAAUGAUUGUGUAAUUGUAUGUUUGGGAAAAGGGUAGAACAAUGGAGAUUGAGCAUUGUAUGCAUGAGUUGGUCCCUUUCUUAGAUAUAUUAUGUGCAAUGUCAAGGCUACUUGUUUUGAGAGUAAACCACCUUAAAGAUCAUAUGUUUUGAACCUCUUGAAUCACUUGAAUAAAAGCCUUCCCUUACCCAACCAAAUGACUUGGACCAACGGACCAUUUGCAAGAAUUCAC